UUUUUUUUUUUUUUUGGUGUGUGUGUGAAUAAGGGUCAUGGCAAGUUGGCAAGGCAUAUGUGCUUUCAUUAAAGGCUACUAUCUCAGUAUUAAGUUCAGGAGAAGUUGCAAGAAGAUAUUGCCAUGUUAAAGGUGUUGUCCGCAUUUUAUUACCUCUGAGGUUCCACUCUCAAGGAAAACACCCUUCAGUCGACUAUCUGCAAGAUAUAACAAGGUAAAAGAUUGUCAUAAAGAAGUCCAACUGAGAGUAAUGAUAAAUAUUGAAAACAACCAAUUACCAGAGUCAAUCCAGAAGGUAGCAAUCUUAGGAUCAAAGUUCCCUACUUCAAUUGUUUCACCAACUGCGUAGUGAACAAGAGAGGAUACAGAUUUUGUGAUUGUUGAUGUUCAAUAACAAGGAUGAACAUUAUGAGGUGGAAACUGGAAAGGGGCAACCAUACCGUUAUCUCCGUAGAAUUGCCACCAAAUUUUCCUGGAGCUUCCUUCAUACUCAAAAACUCGAGAAUAGAAAUACGGAAGGUAGUCAUACCUACAUCAGAGAUGGCAAAUCAAGCACAGCACCAGUAGGUAAACUGAUAGAUACACCUUAUAACCAUUAACUUACGCUUUUGCCUGGGAUGUUAAGAGUGUUUCUAUACAAUGUUGUGCAGACUUUCUGGCAUGAUCCACAUGCUCCACUCGAGCUAUUCUAUCAUACAUCUGUAGAAAAGCUCACAGAAAGUUAUAUUCUGGGAUCCAACAUUUCCUUAUUUGAGAUAAAUGCACAGAAACCUACCUUGAGCGGAAAAGCUGCCACAUCUCCAAUAGCAAAGAUGCUAGGUAUACUUGUUCUAAACAUGGAAUCAACCUACAAAGAAGAACCAACAGAUCAUCUAAGGGUGACAAAAAAAUUCAGACAGCAGCACAUCUUUUACAAGGAAAGUGUAAUGACAGUAGAGGUGACAGAGCCAAAUCACUAAAUUGAUAUCAAAGGUCUAACUGGAAAAAUCAUCUAAUUUACUUUAUGCAUUGUUAUAAUUAAUAAAUACAUCUAAUCUUAUCACCACUACAGGUACAAAAUGGCAAAGCAAGGAGUCCCUUAAACCUUCAAGCAACUAGAGAGGUAAAACCACAACUUGGUGUCCAAUAGAGAACAAUAAUGACCCAUGCUACUAACAUACAUCAUACUGCAGAGUAUAGUCAAAUCAAAUAAGGUUCAUCAACUUCUGGAUGGAACAAACCUCUAUUCCACCAACUUCGAUGUUAACUCCCACAGCUUCGAAGGGGCUGACAGAUGGUUUUGCUCCUAUACCAACAAUAACCUGCAUUACAUUAUAAUGUCAACAUAAGAAGAUCUCAUGAUAUGAAUCCAUACGGUUUCAGCAGUUUAAGAAUAUGUACAUAAGAAGAUAAUAUCAAAUAUACUCCCUCCGUUCCGAAAUAAUUGUCGCUGGGCAAUCCCAGUACAAAUUCCGCAAUGCUAUGAAUCUUUUCCACUUUCCAGAUUUACCCUUCCACCUUAUCCGCUCGCUCGCUCGCACCGCUCGCUUGCUCGCUCUCCCUCGCCGGCCACCUUAUCCCCUUCCCUCGUCGCCUCUCCCUCACCGGCCUCUCCUCUCCGUGGCCGGCCACUCCCUUUCCUCGUCGCCGCCUCCCUCCUCUCCUCGUCGCCGGCCUCUUCCUCUUCCCGUCGUCGGCCUCUUCCACCGCCCCUUUCUUCCCACCACCCCGCCUUCACUCACACCGGUAAAAAAUAUUGAUUCUUUUUGCGUCUUCGACGAGCUUCUCUGCGACGGAGGCAUGGAUGUGUAGCGGCGCCAGAGUUCGAUACGGGCUAGGGGGCAUGAAUGUGGACUGGCGCCCAAGCGGACCUAGAGCGACGGUGGAGCAGCGGAACGGCGCCGGAGCCUCCACGUCGCCAUCGUGCACAUCUCGUCGUUGUCCUCACACAUCGACGCAUGGUACGGCCUCUCUCCUCUCCACGCUGAGUACUUGCAUUCUCCACGCAUGGUACUUGGAGUAGUUCUUGAUCCAGUAGUACUUGCAGUAGACGGAUUCAGUAGUUCUUGAUCCAGGAGUACUUGCAGUAGUUCUUGAUCCAGUAGAGUUUAGACAGCUUCCCUUAUUUCCUCCAUUACUUCUUUGUAAUUCUGGAUGGGGAGUCAUCUCUUUUGAAAUGCAGUAAUGCCAGCAGUAUAUCUGUACUUGUACAGACCAUCCACCAGACUUGCUAGAAGCAAAGUUCCUCUUCCUGAUUUUCUUCUUUAUGAAAUGGUAUCUGCUUUGGGGUUGCAGUACUUGCAGUAGUUCUUGUGCUACUGAAAGCAGUAGUAGCUACUGUUAUUUUUUUUGCACAUGAAGCCUCAGUAAUGCAGUAGCUUAAUUUUGGAGUAAAAUGGAGUAUAGUAUUGUUUUGGUUGCAGUAGUUUCCAGUAUAUCAAAUUUGGUGGUAUUCAGUGCAAGAAGGCCAAAUCAGAUUCAGUACUGUUUUGGUUGCAGUAGUUUUCCAGUACUAUUUUGGAGUAGUGGUUGCAAGAUUUAGAGUACAUUUAAGACAAGUAAUCUUGCAUUUUCUUGAUCUGUUUUGCUUCAUGUUCCAGCUGAAAACUGAAUGUACAAUGUUUCUGUAGAUAAUUUGAUCGAAAAGGGACGGCAUGCUGAGGUGUACAAAAGACAGUUUGCUGAUGGACAGUUUGCUGAAGGAGUACUUAACCAAGCAUGCUGAGGUGAGCAGAGUAGCAUGGAGUAAAAUGUUUGCAAGAGUACAAUUACAGGCAUGAGUACAAUGAAUUAACCAAUGAGUAAAAUGUUUGGUUUCCUUUUUGUAUUCCAACAUGUAUUCCAACAUGUAGGAGUAAAAUGGAUGCCCAGCUAUGUUUAUCUGUUGACCACUGUAUUAAAACCUGUAGGAUAUCUAGCCUCAGAUGUUAUGACCAAGACCAACUAAAAAAGCCUGCAACUGAAUCUUGAUACUCCUGCUACGAAUACAAUCAAGCCGAGAAAAUAAAUGUGUUGUCCAGAUGACAUUUCACUAUUUUAUUUCAGUUUCAGAAAUACACAUUGAUGGACUAUGUCUAGUGUUUUUGUUUACUGAAUUUCGUUUUGCUGUGUUACUGUGUCUCUCAUUCUCUUUACCGUGCCUAAUUGGACAUGCUUACUCUUGAUUAUGCUCCGGUUUAGGUCCCGGUUGGUAUACUGCCAGCAGCCUUGCCGGUCCAAGCAAUCAAGAUCAUCAGCAAGUCAAUAACGGAGACGGUCGAGCACUGUCAUCACACUAAACCUGCAACACCAGUGAGAUGACUGAAGAUUGGGUUGUGGUUGGAGUGAGAGGAGAAGCAAAUCACUUGACCAGUUGAAUCCUUGUGAGUGCAACCCUCUAUUUCAUUCCCACUUUGUUGUGAGUGCAACCCUCUAUUUCAUUCCCACUUUGUUGUUGGCAAAGUGAUUUGUCACUGUAUGAUCAUCUGUUUCUUCAGUGCAACAUUCUUCAAAGUAUGCCAUGAAAAUUUCCAAAAGAAAAAAGUAUGCCAUGAGAAUUUGGUUAUCUGAUUUUUUCUUCUGCAGGGGUGUACAAGACGGCCGAGCUGUGGCAGGUGAAGGAGCCGCUGCCGCUGCCCGCGCCGAAGAAGCGCAACUGCUCCAUGGUGUUCACCCUCAACGAGAUGGAGGAGGCCACCGGCAUGUUCAGUGACAAGAACCUCAUAGGCAAGGGCGGCUUCGGCCGUGUUUACAGGGGCGUGCUCAAAGAUGGGCAGGUACGUUCAACUUCAGAAGAUGUUGUUGUUUUGUCUCUUGGUACAGUUUUCAGAUUACUGAGUAUGGGCAGAGUCUGAACACUUCGAAAGCAAAUACGUCCCUCAAUUUCAGAAGAUUGUGGUGUUUUUGUCAUUUAGCUUUAUGUGUGUUUUCCAGAUUAUAUUGGUGUUAGCACCAAUGAUUCUGUUUGGAAGAGAACUUCCUCUUUGGUUUGAUACACAUACAUUAUUUGACUGUGAUUUAGAGUUAUGAUUAUUUGAUGUGGCGAACAUAGAAUCCUGCCUGCGCAUUUUGAAGCAAGACUCCUGUGAUUAUUUUGUACCCUGAAUUCAAGUAAAUUAAGUUGCCUGUACCAAGUUGAGUAUUUAGUUCGAUGAGUAAUUUUCUGCCCGGAGAUGAUGAGCAGAGCAUAAAAAUGAUUGCUUAUUUGUAUACUGCUGCUGCUGUAGUUUAAAAGGCUCAAGAUCUUCUUCAGUUAAUUAGGAGUGGCAGCACUACUUACCCUGGUUUUGAGUCGCUGAUUAGUCGCCGACUAAUCGCCAAGUCGUCUUCCUGUCAGAGGAGUACAUUAUUUUGUUUGACAGGAGUAUUUCAAGAUCAGUACAUUAUUUUGUUUGACAGGAGGGCUUAAGGACCUACGGUAUCAUGGUGAUUUCAUAUCAAAAUUGAGGAGUACUCCUGUUCAUUUGGAGAACUCAAACAUCAAUUGAUAUGCAUCGAAAUUGGGAUCAACAGUAGCAUGGGGCCUUAUCAUUCUGGUUUUUGGAUGACUUAGUUAAUCAAAUUCCUCAACUGAGGAACAUCUGAACUUGUCAUUCCGGUCUUGGGAUCAACAGUACCAUAUGGACUUAUCAUUCUGGUUUUUGGAUGAUUUAGUUAAUCAAAUUGACAUCAAUUGACCUGUUUUUUGGAUCAAUUGCAGAUUCUCUUGAUUGGAGUGGAGAGGAGCAGAGACGAGAGGAUCAGCAGAAGUGGACAGCGCAGCGGCUGACCUUGAGCUCUUGAUUGGAGUGGGGGGAGGCGGCCGGCGAAGGAUCUGUGGCCAACAACGAAGGAUCCGAAGUUGUCGCGGAGCAGGCAGCCGGCGGGAAGGGCGGUCGGCGAGGGAGCUGCGGAUCUUGGCGCGGAAGGGCAGCCUAUGAGGGAGCUGCGGACCAUGGCGGGGAAGGGCGGCCGGCCGGCGAGGGAGCUGCGGACCGCGGCGGGGAAGGACGCCGGAGAUGCGGACGACGGAGGAGCCCGGCGAAAGGGAGCAGCGACGGCGAAGAAGCCUGGCGGAGGGGAGGAGCGACGGAGGAAGACGCCUCCCGAUGGAUCAAAUCGGGGGUAGUAUUGUAAUUUCACACUAUUUCACCUGGUCGGAAAGAUGCCCCCAGCGACAAUUAUUUCGGAACGGAGGGAGUAAUAAAUAGUAGCUGAUGCUCCUACUGAUAAUAUAAUAAACUGUAUGUAACUUCUGCUGCCUCAGCAGACAUUUGAUCACGACACACAUUUUGGGCUAAUACUACCGUUCACCAAACAGAGGCUGAUGCCAACAAUAUCCAACCACGACCAGCAGGGUUUCUAAGCAGAUUAGUUUGUGGACAGCGAGAACAAUACUGAGUCUGAUUCUUGAGAAAUCAAGUUGGUUUCCUAAUCAAAGAUUGAAAAGACUUCCUCAUUCUCCCCCUCUCUUCCCCUCCACUAGAGCCACCACCAUCAGCAUUACCAUGAAACCUCCAUACUGAAAACUCGGCAUUUUCUACCCAUCACACACCAGAACUUACUGGUUUCCAGAAUUUAGGACUUUGCUUGUCAGUCUAGUUUAUUAGCUAACCAUAAAAUGUACUCCCUCCGUCCCAAAAUUCUUGCCUUAGACUUGUCUAGAUACGGAUGUACCUAAUACUAAAACGUGACUUUGAUACAUCCGUAUUUAGACAAAUCUAAGACAAGAAUUUUGGGACGGAGGGAGCAGAAGGAUAGCACACCUAUCAUAGACUCUCUUCACUUCUGAGGGAUUAGGUUGUCUACAUGCUUUCUACUAAUAGGAUUUCAAAGAUAAGUUGGUUAUUAUCAAAUGCCUUUCAAACAUAAUAUCAAGUGGAUCUAAGUGGUCAUAAUCUUGUCAUUAAAUAAUCUAAUAUAACGGGUGCUCUUAAUAAGGCCAAGACCAACAGUAGGAACUUAAAUGCAGGAAUCUCGAUGAUUUUCAUGGUUUAGGAUUUGCUACUGCAGCAUAAGAACAUGUUGAGAAAAUAAAGAUCGUAACUGUAUCAGCUUCAACAACAGAACCAUCUUUAAGUAUAGCUGAAGACACCCUUCCAUCAGAGCCAGCAUCAAGUUUGUCAAUAAGAGCUCCCUGGAUACCAUAAAUAUACACAUUCAACAUGAUAUGGUAUGAAAAAUCAAGACAAACAAAUGAUGUUGACAGACUGGUGGAACUCUGUCACCUUUACGAAUUUGACGCCAUUUUGCUCAUACAGUUCCUCAUACUUCUUAGCAAGGGAAGGCGUAAACAAUCUUGGCAUUAUGUGAUCUUCUGGGAAUAUUAUCUAUAUACAAAGCAACUUCAGUUAUACAACUGGCACUUGCAAUGCAUAAAGAGAAUAAAAACAUGCUUCAGAUAUAUCAGAACUGAAGAAAAUAAGAUAGUGCCGUUACAGUUGUGUCAAGAUUCCAGCCACAAGCUGCAGCAGCCACCUCCAUGCCAAUAUAGCCCCCACCAAUAACAACAAUUUUCUUUGCUUUUCCCUACCAAAUUAACCCAAAUAUCAGUUCAGCAGAAAAGUUGAAAAGUGUGAAUAUACAAAACAAGGAAUAAUUUUAGAUUACUAUUGUCAUGUCGCACGAGAGAAACCUAUUUUAGUACAUGAGAAACAUCUAUCGUUAUUUUUGUACUGAACAUACCAAUGAAGAUACUAGAGAAUCAGCAUCAGCAACAUCACGUAUAUAGUGAACUCCAGGUAAGUCUCCUCCAAUUUUCUCAGGUAGUCUGAAACAAGCAUCAAUAUUACAAGCACGAACAAGCAAUGAUGAAAUUCAUGAAAACCAUGUGAAAUGUACAAGGCUUCUAUAUCUACUUGUUCAGUUUAUUGCAUCAUUGCAGAAGCGUGGGAAUUUUAUUUACCUUGCCUCUUAGGAGCGCAAAGUUAUAGCAGGAAUUGGUAAGCAUGGUAACUUGGUAAGGAUAUUACAAUCUGGUUUUCCACAUUAAAACCACUGCUAAUAUAUGCAUAAUGGAUUGUGAUAUACCUUGCAGCUGCACAACCAGUAGAAAUGAUAAGUGACCCAUACUUCAGAAUUUUCCCUGAUGAAGUUUUCAAGGUCUGUGUUUUGCCAUCAAAUGCUUCAACUGGAUCCUCAUACAGCACCUUUCAGAAAGGAGAAAUGGUUUCAGACCAAGGGGAUUCUUGUAUUAUUAUGGAACACACUAAACAAAACAAAAAAAGAUAGUAGCAUCAGAAGUUCAUAACUACCUCUAUGCCAUUCUCCUUGUACCAUUCGGCAGUCUGCCUCUGGCCACCAGAUCCAACACAGGUAUGGAAUCCCUGCCACAAGAGAAACAUCCGAGUUUUAAGGCUGCAUGCCUGUAUUUGCAGAUUUUAUCUUGAUGCUGACCUAUGCAGGACACCAAUGUACCAUACCAGCUAAAAGAACGCUGAUUCACGGAUAGCAACAAAUGAUGACAGUGUAAUGUUUACAUAUUGGAGUAGAUUUCACUCAAAGUCGGAACAAAUGACAUGAUGAUGACUUAACUAAAUUUCUGUCCAUUAUUAUGUCAAGAAUGCUCAACAGAGAAAGAGGCUAAACAGAUUGGUAAUCCCAAAUCAACAGACUAUCACUACUGUCAUGGUUCAAUGCUACUUCCUGUUGUUAAAUUGUCCAAACUCCAAAGUACUUACAGGUAGGCGUGCCGGCUUCUUUUCUGGUGGAAACAGAUAGCCUUUGGUCAGUGCCGGUCGCUCGUAUGGUGGAACAGCCUGCACCACAACAAGCACACACCAUCAGAAAUCAGCACCCAUAGGCUCAAAAGAAAAAUGUGUAAGUACUGGUAGUUUCUAGUACGUCCACAUAUUAUACUCCCUCCGUUCACUAUUAUAAGAUGUUUUGGAUAUUUCAAUAUGGACUACAUACAAACGGAAAUGAGUGAACAAAAUUAUGUGCUGGGCAGGGAAUAACAAUGAAGAAUCCACUUGUGUAAUUAAUUAACUGAUGCACGAUUGGCAUUACCUCUUUGGAGACGAUGCAGAGGCGGCCGUCGGCCAUGCCAUGCUCGACGAACGUCCUGGCCGCGUAGCCCGCCGCGUUCCCGCCGCCCACGAUCACGUACCUGCAGGCGGUCGAUACAUGAACCGUAAGUAGGGACAGGCUUGGCAGAGGACAAGGACCGAAGCAGACAGACUCAGAUCAAGAGAGCCUAGCCUAGGGGGGUAAGAGGGAGGGAGCACCCACUCGCGGUUCUGGUUGUCGAAGACGGCGGCCGCGGAGACGGAGCAGUUCCUCCUGCGGGUGGCCGCCGAUGCGAGGGCGCCGCCUCCGGCGCCAAGGCGUCGCAGCGCCCAGGACGUCUGCGAGUAGCACCCCGUCCCCGCCGCUGCCGCGGAAGCCAUCUGCGCCGCCUUUCGCCGGAGAGCUAGAGCCACCUCCAAGGAAAAAACAAACCAAUGGGCAGCGAAUCAGAACUCAGAAGGGUUUGGGGCGAGCUGCGGGGUCGCGACGAGAACCUGAAGUCAUAGCCUCUCCCCACAGGCGGCGCUUAUAGGAGAGGGAGCGAGUAGAGGGAAUAGUUUAAUGGUGGGGGAGGCUCUCAAAGGGACGCUGGCCGUUGCGGCGGGCCAAGGGGCGGGGCGGGGCGGCGACGACGAACGGGCAGACGGACGGAGUGGGGGGGAGAAGACGCUCCACGUGUACUCUCGUUUUGCCAGUACGCCCUCCUGGGGAUGUUUUAAUUGCGUGUCAUGCCACUUAUUAUUAAGAUUAAGAAAUGUUUGUGUUUUUAUAUAUAGCAGAAUGGACAUUAUUACCACACUUACAUCGUUCAACUCAACAAAAUUGUCUUACCUUACUGAAAUAGUACAGUAACAAUAUAUUGAUCAUUUCAAAAAAAAUGAUGCAAUUUGGGAACAAUGGCUAAUUUAUUUAUUUUUGGCGGGACUCAUGAAGAGCUGCAUCAGAUAAAGAAGAAGGAUAACACAAAAAAGAAUUACAUUCAUUCUGAUAGAUAAUUCUGGAGGAUAAGAUCAUCAGCAUAUCUCCGGAGCAGAAUGUGCGGGUAUUUGAGAUCGUCAGCACAUCGUCAUGUUAAACUUGUCACAAUGGCUGGACCAAACUAUAAGAUCAUCAGCACAUCUUCGAAAGAGAAUCUGCAACCGAGAUCCUGUCAAAAAAUCAUGGCAUCUUCGAAAGUAGCUAGGUGAUAGUCUGAUAAAAGUUUGAAUAACGUCAGAACAUAUACUCCUAUGGUGCAAAUGUAUCGAAUAUACGAGUUUUGCUAAAUGUGGUAGCACGAAUGAAAAUCCCUUAUAUGGGGUAGUUCCUGUCAAAAAUGCCAAAAGAGGGGGCAAAAGGUGGAAUUUAGUCUAAAAAACAAAACACUUAUUAAACUUGUUUGACCUUGACAAGAGAACUACAAGUUGUGUGCUUCUGAGUUAAAGACAAAGCACAGAGUGUAGCCUUUCACUAAACACCAUUUUCAGUGGAUCUAGAAGUUGCUAAUAAACUAUUCUACAUUAAAAAAAACUACAUGGUUCGGUUCAUGUGCAGUGUCUCGUCAUGAUUGUGCCAUGUCACGACGUCUCCAGAAAAAACCACCUCCUCCUAGCACCUACUCCCUCCGUUCCAAAUUACUCGUCGUGGUUUUAGUUCAAAUUUACCAGGCUGUAUAUCAUGUUAUCCUUUUUUUUCUCACAUAGAAGAAUACAGAAACCACAAAGUAAACUGUUAGCAGGAUGGGAAUUAAGUCUGAUAAUGAUAUGAAAAAUGAAAAUGUGUUCACAUCAAGUUCAGUAUACUUUUCCUGAAUGUGUAGUGUUUUUUUUUAUCAUUGAAGCUGUUAUUUGACCCCAAAAGUGAACCGACAAAACCGGACACAGCAGCAGAUAACCUAGUUCGGCAUUGAGCCAAAAGUGAAGUCUUCUCUGUUGCCUCCUCAACUCUUAACAAUACUAAUUAGAAAACAUGACACAACAUGUGCAUCAAAUCAAAUAAACAAUGCCACCGUGUGCACAAACUGAACCCUUGACAAACCAAAGCAUAAGCCAGGGCACUGAGGGAUUCAGGCAUCUCAAAUAGCAUUGAGAGAUUGUGUCCAACCUCUAACAUCACUGGACCAAUGCUAAUAGUGCACCGAUUACAAAAUCUGGAUUCAUGUCUCCCUGCAAGUAUGGCACAAGCCACACAGCAGGCAGUGGCACCAUUUCAUCACAACAUGCAUUCUCAGUAGGAAGCUAGGAUCAUCAUCUCUUCUCAAAGAAGUGCUCUAGGUGAGACUGCCCACCUUUGCCUCCAGCCUUCUGCUGUGCCUUUGGCCACAAUGCUGGAGUCCUGCUAUCCUGCAACAACAGAUCCAUGCGUGGGAUUACAUUAGAUACAUACAUGCACUUAAGCUGCUUUUGCGGUCCGACGGGGAGGAACAUGAGCUAAGCUGAGCUUGUUCAACUCACCGGGAACCGGCCAUGACCUCUCAGGACUUUCACCUUUCCCCCGCGCCCGUCGUGCCCCACAGAUAUCAGAUUGCCCUUGUUUGUGUUUGCACCUAGAUACCCAGGUGCUGCCAUGCCCUUGGACCAUUUGCCGAUGCCUUUUCUUGCCCCUUCACCGGUACAUCCAGGUAGCGUUUGAAAAUCAUCAUCUGAUUGUAGAAAAAGAUGGUUGCUAAGUACAGGGGAUUGAGUAGAAAUAACAAGUUAUGGAUACCCCAAAUAGUAAGAAACAACCAAACGAGGUUCUGCAUUAGCAACUUCACAAGAAACUCACCGGAAAGAGAAUUUAAAUUGUGAAAUGUCUGAGGUCCAGUGCCAGAAGCCAGCCUAGUUGCUUGUUUAGAGAUGCCACCAAUUGUCAGUGAUUCUUUCUUCCAUGUUGAAGUUGUAACAUUCGUGCUUCUCAGAACAGGAAGCUCUUGAACGUUUUGCAGUUUGGUCUUCAUAAGAAUCUCCUGAAAUGUUGAUUUUCCAGUAGCCGCUGUGUGUUUCAAAAAUGAUGUUUCUUCUGGUACAUCCAAGGAAGGCUCACAUCCGAAUGCCGUGGGCUCUUCAGUACCACGUUCACAGCGACUGGACUGAUUUUGUAUAUCCAAAGUGAAAUCAUUAUACCCAAACAGCUCGGUGGGACAUUUUAUCGUGUCUUUAUCAUCCGCAUCUAAGUCUAUCACAUCUGCAAUCUUUAUUUCAAGGUUGUCUUCUAAGAUCGGAUCUUUUUUAGCUUCAGGGGUCACCUGGUUUGACUGAGCCUUCUCCUUGCAUCCAUCUUGCAUCACAUCAUCAAGCUUAACCGUUUGAUUCCCAUGUCCAACAGAUGGACUAGAGAAACCAUUAUUAGCACUGACAUUCACUGGAUUUGUCUGCUUCUGGUCAGCUUUAAAUUUCUUUGAAGACCUCAAGUCUCUGAUGACAUUAUUUUCCUUUUCUUCCAGCUCCUUCUGAAGAUCAAGUACCUUUGCCUGUUGUUAUUUGCAGAGAUCAACGCCCAAGCUAAAUAUGUAAAUUGAGGAAAAGAUCUUAAGUUGUUAUGAGCAUACCCUCAACUUCUUUAUCAGCUCUUUGUCCUUCUCAAUCCUCUGCUGAGCGCGACUUUCUGAUCUUCCCAGAUGAUUGCAUUGGACCAUCAAGUCUUUGUAGCUCCUGAAAGAAAAAUGCAUUACUAAGUGUUCAGAGCACGAAAUCCAGUCUAUAAAAAGUGAAAUGGUACACUGCAAGAGUAGCUUUUUGAAAAAAAAAAUACAUUCACCAGGUUAAGUAAGAAUAUCAGUUGUGACAACAAAGCAUCCAUUUAAGAGAGAAAAGGACACUUUCAUCAGAAACGUCCAACUUGAGCAUCUAACAAAAACACUGGUUCUUUGUCUAAUUUGUAUGGAAAUGAUUCCAGAAUGGCACAUCAUAUCGCCUGCUAUUUCAUUUGAUACUAGUGUCAUCAUUGGACAUCAGAGCAUAGAAACUGUCUCAAGUCGUAACUCCAACUUCAUAGCUGAAAUACUGUCUAUAAUUUAGGUUGAGGUCCUUACACUUCCUUCAACGAUCCGAAGUUCAACAACUCGACAUCAUAAGGUAAAGCAAAAUCAAUAUUCAGUUUUACAUAAACUAUUACUACUCUUUAACAGUUAUUGAAGUGGAUGACGAGGUCCCACUGUUCAGUGUAAAACAUGUUUAGGCAGUUACCCCCAAACUAGUAUGCAUACCCAACAUGAACGACAUGUUUCAACAGAGGAAAUGAUGGAGAAUUAUACUUGUUGCGGAGAGCAAGUGAUCUCUUCAGGACGUCAACAGCAUUCUCAAGGUUGCCAUGGUUACCCAAUGAAGCCAACUUUAGGAUGUCUUCUUCCUGAAGGUUCAUGUCAGUCGACCUAAGAACAAGAUAUUAAGACAGAUGCAUUUCACUCAUUAAACACAGAUAUUUGUGCACACUUCAGAUUGAACAAGCAUACAGCUUCAGGGCCGCAAGCUCCUUCGCCAACGCAAGGCUCCUCUCGUGCAACCUCACGCACUCUGACGUCUUCCUCGACAACUCCUGCCAUGAUUUACCAACACGAUUCAGUAACCCAUAGCCAGACGAAGAAAAGGGAGAAUAGAUCUCGCCACCUGAACAAUGAACUUACUUACCUCUGUUUUCGCAUUGAGCAGCCGCUGCACAGACUCUUUCUCCUUCCUAGCCGACUCCCGCAUCGUCUCUGCGGUCGCCGCCUGCUCCUUCCACCUAACGACCUGAACCAAGAGCCACCAAGAAACCAUUAGCGAUCCACACAAAAGAACCAGCCCAAUAAGAGAUCCGGCCGAUGCGGUAGCAGCACUAGCCUCGGCGUUGAGCUUCUGGAUCCCAUCGCGCUGCUCCUCGAGCACCUUGCCAAGGGACGACGCCUUCUGCUCCAGCCGGGCGACCUCUUCGGCGAGCGCCUCCGGGUCGGCGUCCUGCGACGAGGAGGGGGGCGCCUGCGUGGGGCACGCGCCGGUGGACUGGAAGAAGAGGCGGGUCGGGGGGUGAGAGGCGCCGCAGGCCUGCUUGCAGAUGGGGCACUUGCCCUUCUUCUUGCCGCCCGCGCUCGGGCAGUAUUCCAGCCAUUGCUCUACGCUGCAACAACACGCGGGAAGCCUCUCUGUUAGCCGGCCAUCGCGAUGAGAGAACGGGAAAAGAUAAACGGAUUGGCGGGGAAGGGCGGGGCGGACCAGAGGGCGUGGAAGACGUGGCCGCAGGAGGGGAGGCAGUAGAUGUGCUGGUCGGAGAGCGGGCGGAGGUCCUCGUAGCAGAUGGUGCAGACCGGCCAUGCGGCGGGGGUCAUGACGACGGCGGCGGCGGCGGCAUCCAGAGGGGGGAGGGCUCCUAUUCUUGUGGUUGGAUUUGGGGGAGGGAAACGAACAGGUUUCGCGGGAGUUUUCGAAGCGCACAAGAGACCUCGUGGCGGGAACAAUUUUCUCCCGCUCUGAUAUUACUCUUUGAAAUAGUAAUAGUUUUCGUGAUUUUUUAGUUUUUGUAAUCUAAGCCGUUCAAAAUAUUUAAUCUAGUCUCAUAAUCAUACAUACAAUGGUUGUGGGCCAAUAUUAUAUGCUCAGCUGACCUUUUUUAUGCGAAAGAAACUUUCAAUUUAUUCAUCGAUCAUGGUAGUCCAUAUAAAACACUAAAGGUGAUAAAAAUUACAACCAGGUUCAAGGACCACCUAGCAACGACUACAAGCAUUGAAGCGAGCCGAAGGAGCACCACCGUUAUCGACGUCCCUCACCGGAGCCGGGCGAACUUUAUUGCGUAGACAGUCGGGAAGUCAUCGUGUUAAGACCCUAAAGGACCGCACCAGAGCAGCAACCAUUGCCAACAAAGAGAGUAGUAGAUCGGAAAGAUCAAACCUGUAACUACACUAACGAAGACGAACACAAAUUGGAUCCCAAUAGAUCCACCGAGGACCAGCAUCGAUCGAAUCUCACAAGAUCCAAUGAAGACACACCUCCACACGUCCUUCGACAACGCUAUUCGCACCAUCGAGACGAGAAUUAGACGUGGGAAACAUUAUUUCUACUCAGGGACAUCGCCCCUGCUACCUUUUGAGCUUGUGUUGGUUUUUUCCUUGAAGAGGAAAGAGUAAUGCAGCAAAGUAGCGUACGUAUUUCGCUCAGUUUGAGAACCAAGGUAUCAAUUCAAUAGGAGACAACGCAUAAGUCACCGAAUACCUGCAUAAACAAUCAACAACUUGCACCCAACGCGAUAAAAGGAUUGUCAAUCCAUUCACGGUCACUUGCAAAAGUGAGAUCUGAUAGGGAUAGAUAAACAGUAAACUAAAUAUUUUUGGUAUUUUUGAUUUAUAGAUAGUGUUGGGGAACAUAGUAAUUUUAAAAAUAUUCCUACACACACGCAAGAUCAUGGUGAUGCAUAACAACGAGAAGGAAGAGUGUAGUCCACGUACCCUCGUAGACCGAAAGCGGAAGCGUUAUAACAACGCGGUUGAUGUAGUCGUACGUCUUCAUGAUCCGACCGAUCCAAGUACCGAACGUACGGCACCUCCGAGUUGAGCACACGUUCAGCUCGAUGACGAUCCCCGGACUCCGAUCCAGCAGGGUGUCAGGGAAGAGUUCCGUCAGCACGACGACGUGGUGACGGUGAUGAUGUUCUACCGACACAAGGCUUCGUCUAAGCACCGCUAUGAUAUGAACGAGGUGGAAUAUGGUGGAGGGGGCGUUGUGAGACGGUGGCUGAUACGUCUCCAACGUAUCUAUAUUUUUUGAUUGUUCCAUGCUAUUAUAUUAUCUGUUUUGGAUGUUUAAUAGGCAUUAAUAUGCUAUUUUAUAUUAUUUUUGGGAUAAACGUAUUAACCGAGAGCCCAAUGUCAGUUUAUGUUUUUUUUGCCUAUUUUAGAGUUUCGCAGAAAAGGAAUACCAAACUAAGUCCAAACUGAAUGAAACCUUCGUGAUGAUCUUUCUUGGAUCAGAAGGAAACCAGAAGACUUGGAGAUGAAUUCGGAGACGCAACGAGGCGGCCACGAGGCAGGAGGGCGCGCCCCCUACCUCGUGGGCCCCUAGUAGCUCCCUGACCUAGCUCCUUCGCCUAUAUAUACUGUUAUACCCUAAAAACAUUAAGGGGUACCACGAAACUAUUUUUUCACCGCCACAACCUUCCGUACCCGUGAGAUCCCAUCUAGGGGCCUUUUUCAGCGUCCUGCCGGGGGGGGAUUCGAUCACGGAGGGCUUCUUCAUCAACACCAUUGCCUCUGCGAUGAAGCGUGAUUAGUUUACCACAAACCUACGGGUCCAUAGCUAGUAGCUAGAUGAUUUUAUCUCUCUCUUUGAUUCUCAAUACCAUGUUCUCCUCGUUGUUCUUGGAGAUCUGUUCGAUGUAAUAUUCUUUUGCGGUGUGUUUGCCAAGAUCCGAUGAAUUGUGAAUUUAUGAUCAGAUUAUCUAUGAAUAUUAUUUGGUUCUUCUCUGAAUUCUUAUAUGCAUGAUUUGAUAUCUUUGCAAGUUUCUUCGAAUUAUCGGUUUAGUUUGGCCUACUAGAUUGAUCUUUCUUGCAAUAGGAGAAGUGCUUAGCUUUGGGUUCAAUCUUGCGGUGUCAUUUCCCAAUGACAAUAGGGGCAACAAGACACGUAUUGUAUUGUUGCCAUCGAGGAUAAAAAGAUGGGGUUUUCAUCAUAUUGCUUGAACUAAUUCCUCUACAGCAUGUCAUCUUACUUGAUACGGUUACUCUGUUCUUCAUGAACUUAAUACUCUAGAUGCAGGCAGGAGUUGGUCGAUGUGUGGAGUAAUAGUAGUAGAUGUAGAAUCCUUUCGGUCUACUUGACACAGACGUGAUGCCUAUGUUCAUGAUCAUUGCCUUGGAUAUCAUCGUAACUUUGCGCUUUUCGAUAAAUUGAUCGGCAGUAAUUUGCUCAGCCACCGUAAUAUUCACUAUCUUGAGAGAAACCACUAGGGAAACCUAUGGCCCCCGGGUCUCUUUUUCAUUAUAUUGAAUCUCUUUUACAUCUUACUAGUUUCUGAUCUACUAUUUUGCAAUCUUUUACUUUCCUAUCUGAAGGAAAUAUGCCCUAUAGGCAAUAAUAAAGUUAUUAUUUAUUUUCUUAUAUCAUGAUAAAUGUUUAUUAUUAAUGCUAGAAUUGUAUUAACCGGAAACAUGAUACAUGUGUGAAUACAUAAACAAACUAAGUGUCACUAGUAUGCCUCUACCUGACUAGCUCGUUUAUCAAAGAUGGUUAUGUUUCCUAGCCAUGGACAAAGAGUUGUCAUUUGAUUAACAAGAUCACAUCAUUAAGAGAAUGACGUGAUUGACUUGACCCAUUCUGUUAGCUUAGCACUUGAUCAUUUAGUAUGUUGCUACUGCUUUCUUCAUGACUUAUACAUGUUCCUGUGACUAUGAGAUUAUGCAACUCCCGUUUACCGGAAGAACACUUUGUGUGCUACCAAACCUCACAACGUAACUGGGUGAUUAUAAAGGUGCUCUACAGGUGUCUCUAAAGGUACUUGUUGGGUUGGCGUGUUUCAAGAUUAGGAUUUGUCACUCCGAUUGUCGAAGAGGUAUCUCUGGGCCCUCUCGGUAAUGCACAUCACUAUAAGCCUUGCAAGCAAUGUAGCUAAUGAGUUAGUUACGGAAUGAUGCAUUACGGAACGAGUAAAGAGACUUGCCGGUAACGAGAUUGAACUAGGUAUUGAGAUACCGACGAUUGAAUCUCGGGCAAGUAACAUACCGAUGACAAAGGGAACAACAUAUGUUGUUAUGCGGUUUGACCAAUAAAGAUCUUCGCAAAAUAUGUAGGAGCCAAUAUGAGCAUCCAUGUUCCGCUAUUGGUUAUUGACCGGAAACGUGUCUCGGUCAUGUCUACAUAGUUCUCGAACCCGUAGGGUCCGCACGCUUAAGGUUUCGAUGACAGUUAUACUAUGAGUUUAUGAGUUUUGAUGUACCUAAGGUUGUUCGGAGUCCCGUAUGUGAUCACGGACAUGACGAGGAGUCUCGAAAUGGUCGAGACAUAAAGAUUGAUAUACUGGAAGCCUAUAUUUGGAUAUCGGAAUCAUUUCGGGUGAAAUCGGGAUUUUACCGGAGUAUCGGGGGGUUACCGGACCCCCCCCCCCCGGGGGGGUUAAUGGGCCUACAUGGGCCCUAAGGGAGAAGAGGAGGGCCGGCCAGGGCAGGCCGCGCCCCCUCCCCCCCGUAGUCCAAAUAGGACAAGGAAGGGGGGGGGGCGCCACCCUUUCCUCUUUCCCCCUUCCCCCUUGCUUCUCCAACAAGGCAAGAGGGGGAGUCCUACUCCCACCUCCUCCAGGCGCACCCCUAGGGGCCGGCCGCACCUCCCCCUCCCUUCUUUAUAUACGGGGGCAGGGGGGCACAUCAUGAUACACAAGUUGAUCUUCGUGAUCGUUCCUUAGCCGUGUGCGGUGCCCCCCUCCACCAUAUUCCACCUCGGUCAUAUCGUAGCGGUGCUUAGGCGAAGCCCUGCGUCGGUAGAACAUCAUCACCAUCACCAUGCCGUCGUGCUGACAGAACUCUUCCCCGACACCCUGCUGGAUUGGAGUCCGGGGAUCGUCAUCGAGUUGAACGUGUGCUGAACUCGGAGGUGCCGUACGUUCGAUACUUGGAUCGGUCGGAUCGUGAAGACGUACGACUACAUCAACCGCGUUGUUAUAACGCUUUCGCUUUCGGUCUACGAGGGUACAUGGACUACACUCUCCCUUCUCGUUGCUAUGCAUCACCAUGAUCUUGCGUGUGCGUAGGAAUAUUUUUGAAAUUACUACGUUCCCCACUAAGGAUAUUCUUGACCGCUGUCCAUUGAUCUACUCUUAGAUCAAAAUUGUAUUCCUUUGCCAAACUCAGAGCAAGGUAUACAUUAGGUCCGGUACACAGCAUAGCAUACUUUAUAGAACCUAUGUCUGAGGCAUAGGGAAUGACUUUUCAUUCUCUUUCUAUUUUCUGCCAUGGUCGGGUUUUGAGUCUUACUCAACUUCACACCUUUGCAUCACAGGCAAGAACUCUUUCUUUGACUGUUCCAUUUUGAACUACUUCAAAAUCUUAUCAAGGUAUGUUGAAAGCACAAGUGCUCCCUAGGUGGUUUUGGUAAUUAAUGUCAACAUAUCUCUUGUUGGACUAACACUUUUAUCUAGUAUAUUUCAGACAAGUUCAACAAUGAAGUGGCAUGGACUAAAGGAUGUGGAACUCCUUCACGAUGCUAAGGACAAGGGAUUGGCUAAAGCUUCAAGCUCAAGACUCUUCAUUUUACAUUUCAGUGAUCCAAGAUCACAUUGAGUCUAUAGGAAAAGCCAAUACUAUCAAGGAGGGCUGAGGUGUUGCUUAAUGAGCCUCUUGCUUCAUGUGCUUAGUGAUAUGCUCCAAAACCCUCAACUACUUUCUCACAUCCACAUAUGACCUAAACCUAAAGCCAAAAUCGGUCACACCGAUUCUUUCUAUCCGGCGCCACCGAGUUCAGAUGUCAUAGCCACUGCCACAAACCCUAGGCAAAUCGGUCUCACCGAUAGGGAUCUCGGUCUCACCGAGAUGGGAUUGUAAUCUUUUUGUGUAUGUCCAUUAUAAAAAUCGGUCUUGCCGAGUUUGAGCAAUUGGUCAUACCGAGAUUACAAUGCAAACUCUCUGGUUAACUUAUUACCAAAAUCGGUCCCACCGAGUUUGAGUAAUCGGUCCCACCGAGUUUGCCUGACCAACUCUCUGGUUAGCUAAUUACCAAAAUCGGUCUUACCGAGUUUGUGUAAUCGGUCUCACCGAGAUUACAUUAUGCCCUAACCCUAACCAUAUCGGUCCUACCAAGUUGCAUUUCGGUCCCACCGAAAAUCCUAACGGUCACUAGGUUUACCAAAUCGGUCUGACCGAGUUUGUUGAUUCGGUCCCACCGAGAUUGGUAAAUUGUGUGUAACGGUUAGAUUUUGUGUGGAGGUUAUAUAUACCCCUCCACCUCCUCUUCAUUCGUGGAGAGAGCCAUCAGAACAAACCUACACUUCCAACUUACCAGUUCUGAGAGAGAACUACCUACUCAUGUGUUGAGGCCAAGAUAUUCCAUUCCUACCAUAUGAAUCUUGAUCUCUAGCCUCCCCCAAGUUGCUUUCCACUCAAAUCUUCUUUCCACCAGAUCCAAAUCCUAUGAGAGAGAGUUGAGUGUUGGGGAGACUAUCAUUUGAAGCACAAGAGCAAGGAGUUCAUCAUCAACGCACCAUUUGUUACUUCUUGGAGAGUGGUGUCUCCUAGAUUGGCUAGGUGUCACUUGGGAGCCUCCGACAAAGAUUGUAGAGUUGAACCAAGGAGUUUGUAAGGGCAAGGAGAUCGCCUACUUCGUGAAGAUCUACCGCUAGUGAGGCAAGUCCUUCGUGGGCGACGGCCAUGGUGGGAUAGACAAGGUUGCUUCUUCGUGGACCCUUCUUGGGUGGAGCUGUCACACCCAAGAUGCGACCCUAUCCUAAAGGAACUCGAAGGUCCCACCAAGGAUAGAAGCACAUCUUGAAGACGCUUUUGCAAGGUGGAUAUCAUUACAUCAACAUUACAUAAUAGAUAGGGAUACAUACAUAAGGCAUACAAUGCCACACGAAUACAACAUCAUCUUACAUAAGAGUACCAUCCGACUACGGAUGAAACACAAACAGAAACUCAUAUGACAUCCACCCUGCUAGCGCAGGCUGUCGAACUGGAACCUAUCCCCUAAUCGAAGAAGAAGCAGAAGAAGAACUCCAAAACAAGUGACAUCGCUCUCGCAUCAUGAUCAUCACAUAACCUGUACCUGCAACUCUUGUUGUAGUAAUCUGUGAGCCACGAGGACUUAGCAAUCCCAUUACCAUGGGUAUCAAGACUAGCAAAGCUUAAUGGGAAAGGAAGGGGUAAAAUGGUGAGGUUGCAGCAGCGACUAAGCAUAUAUGGUGGCUAACAUACGCAAAUAAGAGCGAGAAGAGAGCAAAUGGAAUGGUCGUGAAGCUAGCAAUGAUCAAGAAGUGAUCCUGAACUCCUACUUACGUCAAGCAUAACCCAAAACCGUGUUCACUUCCCGGACUCCGCCGAAAAGAGACCAUCACGGCUACACACACGGUUGAUGCGUUUUAAUUCGAAUCUGGUGUCAAGUUAUCUACAACCGGACAUUAACAAAUUCCCAUCUGCCGCAUAACCGUGGGCACGACUUUCGAAAGAUUAUACCCUGCAGGGGUGUCCCAACUUAGCCCAUGAUAAGCUCUCACGAUCAACGAAGGAUAUACCUUCUCCCAGGAAGACCCGAUUAGACUCGGAAUCCCGGUUUACAAGACAUUUCGACAAUGGUAAAACAAGACCAGCAAGACCGCCCGCUGUGCCGAUAAAUCCCGAUAGGAGCUGUACAUAUCUCGUUCUCAGGGCACACUGGAUGAGCAAGACGUCGAGUUGGCAUAGACCCUGAUUGCCCAGGGGGCGCCGGACAUCGCUUGGUUUGGACCAACACUUAGACAAGCAUUGGCCCGGGGGGGGGGGCUAAAAUAAAGAUGACCCUCGGGUUGGCCGACCCAAGGGAAAGGUAUAGGUGGUGGUGAGGCAAAUGGUAAAACCAAGGUUGGGCCUUGCUGGAGGAGUUUUAUCCAAAGCAAACUAUCAAGGGGGUCCCAUAAAUCACCCAACCGCGUAAGGAACGCAAAAUCCGGGAACAUAACACCGGUAUGACGGAAACUAGGGCGGCAAGAGUGGAACAAAACACCAUGCAUAAGACCGAGUCUUCCACCCUUUACCAAGUAUAUAGAUGCAUUAAUAAUAUAAGAGAUAUUGUGAUAUCCCAACAUAACCCUGUCCAUCAUGGAGCAAUCUUCAACUUCACCUGCAACUAGCAACGCUAUAAGAGGGCUGAGCAAAGCGGUAACAUAGCCAAACAACGGUUUGCUAGGAAGGGUGAAAAAGAUUAGAGGCUGACAUGGCAAAUUGGGAAGUUUGAAGAAUAGGUAGCGCAGCAUAGCGAUAGAACGAAGCAACUAGCAUAGCAAUGAUAGUAGUGAGAUCCAGGGUAGCGGUCAUCUUGCCUGAAAUCCCGCUAGGAAGAAGAACGAGUCCAUGAAGAAGACGGACAGGCGUAGUCAAACGAAUCCUCACAAUUCCGGAACGAAACCGAAGCUAAUGAGAAGAAGCACAACCGGAAAAAAGCAAACAACAUGGUAAACAACCAUCACAUAAACAUGGCACGAUGCAUAACCAAGUAUGAUGCAUGUCUGGUUUAAAGAGGCAUGGCAUGGCAAAGUGCACAAACAAUACUACCAGUUAAGUGGAGCUCAUUCCAUUAUUUAGUUCUCUCUUGUUAUGCUACUCGUCAAUAUUAAAUGUUGGUUAACAUGGCAAGAGGUGAAGCAUAAGUAAACUAACUAUUUGGCAAGUUUAAAUGAGGCCGAAACAACAAACAACAAUUCCGGAAAAAUCCCCAUAUGCAAAUUAUGAAUUUGGUACUGUUCUGCCCUAAAACAUAUUUUAUUGUUGUUAAACAAGAAAAUAAAGUCCACCAUGUUAAACUAGGCAUUUUUCUACCCCAUUUACAUAUAAAGUUUAUUAAAUUCAGAGCUACGGUUAAUUAGUUAUGAAAUAAAUCAUUUUAACAUGGCAUUUAAGCAAAUUAAUGCAAACAACAAUUUAAACAUUUUAACAUGGAUGAAAGUGACAAAUUAUUAAUCUACACAAAAUUCUAAGAAUUUUACAUGUUUAAAUCACUUUAAUCUGAUGCACGGUUCAUGAGUUAUUAAAGCAUGAACAUGGAGGGGUAAUCUGUAAAUAUGCAGUCUCUGGAAAAUUGAUAAAAUCGUAGGCAGGGGGAAAAACAUGACACGGGCCGCAUCUAAAUAGUGCAUUGGGCGGCUGGGCUACUCACCUAGCUGGGCUCGGCCCAGGUCGGUGGAGGUGGGAGCUGGGCCGCGGUCAACAGGUGAAGGGAGGCGCUGACUGGGCCCAGACGCGCAAGGCAGGGAGGCUAUAGGCGCGUCGCCCUCUGUUCGAUAGAAAACAGAGGAGCAGCGGCGCUGGAGCUCGCGAUGCUGACUCGCACGGGACUCCGGCGAAGCAGGGAGGCAGGGGAGGGCCACGGGAAAGCGAGGGAGGCCCGAAUCCUCCAGAUCCGGUGGUGCUUGACUUGUGGAGGCCAGCGGUGAGCUACAAGGCCAUGGAAGCUGCUGUUACCUGAAAAAAGGAGGGAGAGAGAGAGAUUCAGAGAAGCAGCACGGGAAGGGGAAGAAGAGAGAAGGCGAGGGCGACGGGCGCGCUGGUGACCUGCUGGUCGGGUGCUGGUCGCGGCAGAGGCCCGGGACAGGGGAGGAGCACGGCGAAGUCGGGCAGCGGAGGCGCCCAUGGCAAGCAGCGGGCCCGGUCCCGUGAGGAUGGGAUGGAGCUAGCACUGUGAGGUCUUGGUCAACCGACGAUGAUCCUCGGGCUGCCAUGGCCGUGGUUCUCCUGGGCGAGCGGGUUCGACAACAGAAGGAGGCGGCAUCCACGGGCGGCCAUCCAUGGCGCUCGUGCUCGGAGAAAGAAAACAUGGGAGAGAGCGAUUAGCGGAGGCGGGAGGAGCAGGGGAAGAAGAAGAAAAACAGCAGGGACGGUGCUCAUCUGCUGGGCGCGCCGGCGACGUGGCUGGCCGAACGGAGGCGGGGAAGUGGGGCUCCGGGCGAGCACGGGGACGAGGAGGAGCUAGGGGCUCGAGCGAGGAGUGGAUCGAGGGGGCUUGGGGUUGGUCGGUAGAUGAUCCCAAGGUGGGAGGAGGCUGCAGGCUUCGGUGGUUGGCUGGGCGAGGGGAUCGAGGAGGGACAUGGGGGAGCGCUGGUUGGUGGAUUGGAUGAGGGUGAUCCCGAAGGGGAUUGAGCGGGUGGCGGCGCGAUGGGACAAGAAGCCUAGGUUUCAGGUAUUGGUCUAGGGUUGGAUAUUUAUAUAGGUAGGGGAUUAGGGUAGGGGUUAAUCUAUUCCUCCGUUCGAAAUCGGACGGUUCAGAAAAAAUAGGCUAGAGAAUCCAAAUGAGAAAACGGAGAUGUUUUAUAGAUGUUUGGGGAUGAUCCGGACCCAAUGGUGAUGACUGAGCGGGUCGGGUUCGGGAAGUUUCGAACGCGGGAGAGGGGUCGAUGCACUGUGCAAAGAGGGGUUAGGCGGUUUGACAAGAGGGAAACGAAAAUACGGUUGGUCUCGGAACAGUCAAUGAACGCAACGGAGAGAAGCGAGGAGUGGCAACUACGAGCGGAUGCAAGUUUUAAAUCAUGACGACAACGGAGUGCCGAUGCAAUGCAAAUGAUGACAUGAAGAAAAGUAACAAACAAAAGUAAAACACACGACAGCAACGAAAAAUAUGGAAGGUGACUGGAGCGUCGAUCUCGGGGCAUUACAACACUCCACCACUACAAGAGGAUCUCGUCCCGAGAUCUAGGAUGGCACUGGAGAGAAACGGAAGAGGAAGAGAAGAGGUAAAACUAAGUUGCUUCUUUGAUGAAUGAGUGAAGCCAUGAACCUUGAGAGGUUGAGCAAUUAAAAAGAAAGAGUACAACAGAGAUGAACGAGAUUGCAAACAAUCCAUUGGAAAAGAGGAACAAGGAAUAUGAUGAGAAUCAAGAGCUUAGGGAACAAGGUAGACUUCGAAGCCACUCCGGUUAAAAUUAGCUGGACAAGGAAUAAGAAUAAAGAAUUUGGGCAGCACUCCGGUGAAAUGGAUAAGCAAUAAAAGAACAUGAUCUUGACAAAACAAGAUGAUGGGUCGAAGAGAGCAACAUCACAAAGCCUCCGGAAGAAAGAAUAGAAGAUAGAUCAUUGGAAUAACAGAAUGGAGAAGGGAAUGCCAACUUCUGCCACAAAUGAGCUCGGAAAGCACCCUUCCAAGAAGGUUACAACGGAGUUGUUGGAAAACCAACAACGAAACGAAUAAGCUUGUAGUGGGCUUAUGGAAAACAUCUCAAGACUAUGAGAUGACAUUCUGCCACUAACGAAAACAAUUUCUUGCUUUGAGAUCGACGAAGAGAUGAAAACUUCUUUCGCCGAGAGGAUAGGAGAAAACUUGGAUCAUUGAUAAGCACCACAAUAGCAACAUUCCUUAGGGAAGGCUUUAGGUGAAAUCUAUACCAAGAUAACUCCAAUGAAGAGAUUAAUGGAUUUAAAAUAUCUCAUUCUUGACAACAUGUGAAUCAUGAAACACGAACUCAAAUUGUCAAGAAUGACAUAACGCCACCUCAAGAGAUAAGGUAGAAGGAAUUGCACUUUGAAAUGCAAAAGAAGAAUACUUGAACUCCUCCAACAAGAAUCUUGAAGAACACUUCGAGAAUGAAUUAAAUCCUUGAUGAACCCCCAUGUAGAGCCUCCAUGAAGAACUCCAGUAAUAAAAGGAUGAUAGAAAGAAAGAGAGGUUGAAAACACAAGGUGAACCCUUGCAAUGAUUUAGAUGGAGCUUCGCGACGAGAUAAUUGAGAGAGCUUGGAACUCCGAAAAGAAAGAUGAAGCCUCUCGAACCGAGAAUGUGAUAUGAUGACCAACUCCCGAAAGAAAGAUGAAUCACUUGUAAUCAAGAAUUUAUUCAUCAUGAAUAAUCUCCGUAAAAAGAAUUGAGUCAUCUCGAGGAAAUAAGAAUAAGAUUUAUUGUAUGCUUAUCCUUCAUCAAAUUUAAUUGAUGACAAGCAACGGAUUUGGCAUACUACUUAUUUCAUUGAAAAAGGAUUAAGAAAGAUAUAGCAUAAACUUGAGAAGGUAUUGAUGGAGCCACCGGUGGGAUUUGGAAACAACGAAUAUUUGAUAUGAUAACGAAGGAAGUGAAAUCUUGAACGAACCACCGCAAGAAUUGAAAUGAACAUAGCAAAGGCACAAUUCACCGGGAAGAAUUGGAAAACGAAUGAAGAUACUUGAGGGGAUUUAAAUACAUGAGAACAAAGAAAUCAUGAACUGAUUAGAGGGUAUUUGAACGAUGCACCGGUAAGAUUUGGAGAACGAGAACUGAAGGCUGGAAUGAAUGAUUAUGAGAUGAUAUGCUCCAGAAAAAAAACUGAAAAGACUCCUGAAUAGAUCCGGAUGGGUGAAAAAAAUUCUCACAAUCGAAAAUAAUUAUGAGAGGAUGGCAUCAAGCUAGAAUCACGAAUCUUUGAGAGAACGGAUAAGAUUUGGAGGAAAACUCUUCUUUGGUCUCCAAAUGUUGAGAAUGACGAUGGGAAACACCACCAUGAAUUGUUGAGAUACUCCGAGAGAAAAUUAGAAAGGUUGAACCAAUGAUGAAAAGAAUUUGAAAGAUCUUGGAGAAGGACAUAUGACUUAUGAUAAUUCAUUCUUACGUCAAACUUGGAAAAGAAUUUGAGAGUAACUCUGGGAAGGUUAGAAGAGUCAGGUAAGAUCCUGGAGAAAGACCUGUGGGUUAGGGCCCACUAAAAGAUACACCAUUGAACGAUUGAUUGAAAGGGGGGAUUGCACCGGUUGAAUAAAAUGACUUGAAUGAGAUAAUAAUCUCGAAAUAACUUGAACGGAUUGAGAAUGGAAACACGAGUCUUCCGAGAUAUCUUCAACACUCCAGAACAAAUGAAUAGCGAGAAGUGAAAGAUUAAGAGGUGCACCGGCAUACGCAAACACUUGAAACAAGGAAGGGAAUAUGAUCAACACUGAAAACUUGAAUUAAAUCUACCGGAGAAGAAAAUAACAAAGAAUGACGAACUUGAAACUCCUGGCGAACUUCAUGAUAAUCACCGGGUAAGAACAUUGAUUGAAAAGAGUGAAGAGACUUCACAUGAAUAAAUGGAUACUUGAUUAACAUAUAUGAGUCCUUGAAGAAAAGGGUGGGAGGGUGGGGAAACAAAGACAACUUGGGCCGGAUGAAACAAACACCGUUGAGAAAACUUAGAAUUGAUCUUGCGGAUGUUGGAAAUGAUCAGAUCCACUUGAAGAGAAGCACACCGGUUGGGAAAAAAAUUAACAUGAUGACCUCGAUGAUCAAGAAGGAUUAGUAUUCACAUAGCAAUAUGAGAACAUCGUUUAGGAAAGAUAUGGAUUCACAUUUGACUUCGAAGCAACUCGAAUACCACAAAUAAAACAAAACAAAGGAUUUGGCUUGCAGAAUAAGCCGGAACAAAUACAUAUGAUAGAGAUUUACCCAAUCCCAUAUCAUGCAUCUGUCGAAAAGAUAUUCUAGGAGCUACUUGAAUUCCCACCUAUAAAACUCCCGAAACUUUCUGGUUAUGCAAUCUGGUGUUGGGGAUAUAGGGGAAGCAAUAUAUCUCACCCAAACUAACAAUACCUACAUCCAGUUGUAUCCAUCCAUCAACACAUAACAAAGAAACCUUCGGAAAUCGUGUACCUCAACCUUCGAAAAGCAUCUGUUAUACGAGCUAUGUCAAUACUCCCGAACUCCCGCCCUAGUACUGGGUGGCAUCGAGGUUAUCUCACCAACAAAUGCAUAAAAGAGAUUUUCGAUGUCGGCAAAACUCAGGUAUUCCAGAACUGCAACGAUAAAAUUAUGACGACAACACCUCAGAGCUCAACUCCCUGGGACACUACCACAACCCCUAAAUGUCAGGAGGCACCAAGAACAAUGUUCUCGUCAUAAGAAUAUCGGAAUGAUCCCAAGAUACCCGCGUGAUCCUAAAUUUUUUUUUGUUAAAAUUUGAGGAGAGGAAAGACAAAACAUCUACGUCGAGAGUCCUCACCAGAGCGACGAAGGGGGCUGAGGAGUAAAAAGAAUCCUACUCUCCGAUAUAUAUAAACCUAAGACUCAAAAUAGUUUUCUUCUAGACUCAACAACAGCCAACAAUCAAGGGGGCUCCUAUGGUCGGUCGAGGCUCUGAUACCAACUUGUCACGCCCAAGAUGCGACCCUAUCCUAAAGGAACUCGAAGGUCCCACCAAGGAUAGAAGCGCAUCUUGAAGACGCUUUUGCAAGGUGGAUAUCAUUACAUCAACAUUACAUAAUAGAUAGGGAUACAUACAUAAGGCAUACAAUGCCACACGAAUACAACAUCAUCUUACAUAAGAGCACCAUCCGACUACGGAUGAAACACAAACAGAAACUCAUACGACAUCCACCCUGCUAGCCCAGGCUGCCGAACUGGAACCUAUCCCCUGAUCGAAGAAGAAGCAGAAGAAGAACUCCAAAACAAGUAACAUCGCUCUCGUGUCAUGAUCAUCGCAUAACCUGUACCUGCAACUGUUGUUGUAGUAAUCUGUGAGCCAUGAGGACUCGGCAAUCCCAUUACCAUGGGUAUCAAGACUAGCAAAGCUUAAUGGGAAAGGAAGGGGUAAAAUGGUGAGGUUGCAGCAGCGACUAAGCAUAUAUGGUGGCUAACAUACGCAAAUAAGAGCGAGAAGAGAGCAAAUGGAAUGGUCGUGAAGCUAGCAAUGAUCAAGAAGUGAUCCUGAACUCCUACUUACGUCAAGUAUAACCCAAAACCAUGUUCACUUCCCGGACUCCGCCGAAAAGAGACCAUCACGGCUACACACACGGUUGAUGCGUUUUAAUUCGAAUCUGGUGUCAAGUUAUCUACAGCCGAACAUUAACAAAUUCCCAUUUGCCGCAUAACCGCGGGCACAGCUUUUGAAAGAUUAUACCCUGCAGGGGUGUCCCAACUUAGCCCAUGAUAAGCUCUCGCGAUCAACGAAGGAUAUACCUUCUCCCAGGAAGACCUGAUCAGACUCGGAAUCCCGGUUUACAAGACAUUUCGACAACGGUAAAACAAGACCAGCAAGACCGCCCGCUGUGCCGACAAAUCCCGAUAGGAGCUGCACAUAUCUCGUUCUCAGGGCACACCAGAUGAGCAAGACGUCGGGUUGGCAUAGACCCUGAUUGCCCAGGGGGCGCCGGACAUCGCUCGGUUUGGACCAACACUUAGACAAGCAUUGGCCCGGGGGGGCUAAAAUAAAGAUGACCCUCGGGUUGGCCGACCCAAGGGAAAUGUAUAGGUGGUGGUGAGGCAAAUGGUAAAACCAAGGUUGGGCCUUGCUGGAGGAGUUUUAUUCAAAGCGAACUGUCAAGGGGGUCCCAUAAAUCACCCAACCGCGUAAGGAACGCAAAAUCUGGGAACAUAACACUGGUAUGACGGAAACUAGGGCGGCAAGAGUGGAACAAAACACCAGGCAUAAGGCCGAGUCUUCCACCCUUUACCAAGUAUAUAGAUGCAUUAAUAAUAUAAGAGAUAUUGUGAUAUCCCAACAUAACCCUGUCCAUCAUGGAGCAAUCUUCAACUUCACCUGCAACUAGCAACGCUAUAAGAGGGCUGAGCAAAGCGGUAACAUAGCCAAACAACGGUUUGCUAGGAAGGGUGAAAAAGAUUAGAGGCUGACAUGGCAAAUUGGGAAGUUUGAAGAACAAGUGAUAGGUAGCGCAGCAUAGCGAUAGAACAAAGCAACUAGCAUAGCAAUGAUAGUAGUGAGAUCCAGGGUAGCGGUCAUCUUGCCUGAAAUCCCGCUAGUAAGAAGAACGAGUCCAUGAAGAAGACGAACGGGCGUAGUCGAACAAAUCCUCACAAUUCCGGAACGAAACUGAAGCUAACGAGAAGAAGCACAACCGGAAAGAAGCAAACAACAUGGUAAACAACCAUCACAUAAACAUGGCACGAUGCACAACCAAGUAUGAUGCAUGUCUGGUUUAAAGAGGCAUGACAUGACAAAGUGCACAAACAAUACUACCAGUUAAGUGGAGCUCAUUCCAUUAUUUAGUUCUCUCUUGUUAUGCUACUCGUCAAUAUUAAAUGUUGGUUAACAUGGCAAGAGGUGAAGCAUAAGUAAACUAACUAUUUGGCAAGUUUAAAUGAGGCCGGAACAACAAACAACAAUUCCGGAAAAAUCCCCAUAUGCAAAUUAUGAAUUUGGUACUGUUCUGCCCUAAAACAUAUUUUAUUGUUGUUAAACAAGAAAAUAAAGUUCACCAUGUUAAACUAGGCAUUUUUCUACCCCAUUUACAUAUAAAGUUUAUUAAAUUCGGAGCUACGGUUAAUUAGUUAUGAAAUAAAUCAUUUUAACAUGGCAUUUAAGCAAAUUAAUGCAAACAACAAUUUAAACAUUUUAACAUGGAUGAAAGUGACAUAAUAUUAAUCUACAUAAAAUUCUAAGCAUUUUACAUGUUUAAAUCACUUUAAUCCGAUGCACGGUUCGUGAGUUAUUAAAGCAUGAACAUGGAGGGGUAAUCUGUAAAUAUGCAGUCGCUGGAAAAUUGAUAAGAUCGCAGGCAGGGAAAAAAACAUGACACGGGCCGCAUCUAAAUAGUGCACUAGGCGGCUGGGCUGCUCACCGAGCUGGGCUCGGCCUAGGUCGGUGGAGGUGGGAGUUGUGCCGCGGUCAACAGGCAAAGGGAGGCGCUGACUGGGCCCAGACGCGCGAGGCAUGGAGGCUAUAGGCGCGUCUCCCUCUGUUCGACAGAAAACAGAGGAGCAGCGGCGCUGGAGCUCGCGAUGCUGACUCGCGCGGGACUCCGGUGAAGCAGGGAGGCAGGAGAGGGCCACGGGAAAGCGAGGGAGGCCCGAAUCCUCCAGAUCCGGUGGCGCUUGACUUGUGGAGGCCGACGGCGAGCUACAAGGCCAUGGAAGCUGCUGUUACCUGAAGAAAGGAGGGAGGGAGAGAGAUUCAGAGAAGCAGAACGGGAAGGGGAAGAAGAGAGAAGGCGAGGGCGACGGGCGCGCUAGUGACCUGCUGGUCGGGUGCUGGUCGCGGCAGAGGCCCGGGAUAGGGGAGGAGCACGGUGAAGUCGGGCAGCAGAGGCGCCCAUGGCGAGCAGCGGGCCCGGUCCCGUUAGGAUGGGAUGGAGCUAGCACGGUGAGGUCUUGGUUGACCGACGAUGAUCCUCGGGCUGCCAUGGCCGUGGUUCUCCUGGGCGAGCGGGGUCGACAACAGAAGGAGGCGGCAUCCACGGGCGGCCAUCCAUGGCGCUCCUGCUCGAAGAAAGAAAACGCGGGAGAGAACGAUUAGCGGAGGCGGGAGGAGCAGGGGAAGAAGAAGAAAAACAGCAGGGACAGUGCUCAUCUGCUGGGCGCGCUGGCGACGUGGCUGGCCGAACGGAGGCGGGGAAGUGGGGCUCCGGGCGAGCACGGGGAUGAGGAGGAGCUCGGGGCUCGAGCGAGGAGUGGAUCGAGGGGGCCUAGGGUUGGUCGGUAGAUGAUCCCAAGGUGGGAGGAGGCUGCAGGCUUCGGUGGUUAGCUGGGCGAGGGGAUCGAGAAGGGACAUGGGGGAGCGCUGGUUGGUGGAUUGGAUGAGGGUGAUCCCAAAGGGGAUUGAGCGGGUGGCGGCGCGACGGGACAAGAAGCCUAGGUUUUAGGGAUUGGUCUAGGGUUGGAUAUUUAUAUAGGUAGGGGAUUAGGGUAGCGGUUAAUCUGUUCCUCCGCUCGAAAUCGGACGGUUCAGAAAAAAUAGGCUAGAGAAUCCAAAUGAGAAAACGGAGAUGUUUUAUAGAUGUUUGGGGAUGAUCCGGACCCAAUGGUGAUGACUGAGCGGGUCGGGUUCGGGAAGUUCCGAAUGAGGGAGAGGGGUCGAUGCACUAUGCAAAGAGGGGUUAGGCGAUUUGACAAGAGGGAAACAAAAAUACGGUUGGUCUCGGAACAGUCAAUGAACGCAACGGAGAGAAGCCAGGAGUGGCAACUACGAGCGGAUGCAAUGUUGGAAUUAUUAGCGAUAAUAUUUUCGAAGCUACUAGAAUCCAUAAGCAAGAUUAUUGUCAAACACAUACUAAUGAAUCACUCUCCAUAGGAAUUUAUCCACCACAUGACGAUGUUGAACAUGGAUACUAUGAUGAGGAUGAUGAUGAUGACUUUGAUCUUGAUGAUGCAAUGAGACAUUGUGGUCUUAUGGCAAAUCUUCGGGGAUAUAUGGCAGGAGGAAAGGAAUGGGUUCUUGACAGUGGAUGUACCGAUCACAUGACUGGAGAUAAAGACAUAUUUCGCGAGCUUGCUGAAAAUGGUAGUCCUCGAAAGUAAGUCACUUUUGGUGACAACUCAAAGGGUAAGGUGGUUGGCCUCGGUAAGGUGGCCAUAUCACAUGACAGCUCCAUUCAGAAUGUUAUGCUCGUUGAAUCUCUUGGCUACAACUUACUUUCAGUAUCUAGACUUGUUGAUUUCGGUUUCAAUGUCCUAUUUACUGAAGUAGAUUGCCAAGUGUGUCGUCGAGACAAUCAUAAAAUGGUCUUUACCGGCAUACGUAGAGGUGAUCUAUACAUUGUUGAUUUCACUAAAAAGGCUCAACCUAAAACUUGCUUCAUCGCUAAAUCCUCAAAAGGUAGGUUAUGGCAUAGACGACUAGGUCACGUUGGCAUGAGAAACCUUGACAAGCUUAUUAAAGGGAAUCAUAUCCUUGGUGUUAACGAUGUCAUAUUUGAUAAGGAUAGACUUUGCAGUGCUUGUCAAGCAGGUAAACAGGUUGGAGGAAGGCAUCCCGUGAAGAACGUCAUGACCACAAGGAGGCCACUUGAGCUACUUCACAUGGAUCUUUUUGGUCCCAACUCUUACGAGAGUCUCGGUGGAAAUUCUUUUGGUCUAGUUAUAGUUGAUGAUUUUUCAAGAUUUACGUGGGUGUUCUUUCUCGAUGACUUCAAAAACUUCGCUAGGAAGGCCCAAAAUCAGUUUGAAGUGAAGAUCAAGAAGGUUCACAGUGACAACGGAACGGAGUUCAAGAACGCAAAUGUGGACACCUUUCUUGAUGAAGAAGGGAUUUCACACAAGUUCUCGACUACAUACACACCUCAACAAAAUGGAGUUGUUGAGAGGAAGAACCGGACGCUCAUCAAAAUGGCGAGAACAAUGUUUGAUGAGUACAAGACGCCGAAGCACUUUUGGGCAGAAGCGAUUGAGACAACUUGUCAUGCAACAAAUCGCUUGUAUCUUCACAAGCUACUCGGCAAGACGGCAUACGAGCUCCUCACCGGUAACAAACCCCAAGUUGGAUACUUUUGAGUAUUCGGCUCAAAGUGCUACAUUCUUGAUAAGCAUCGUCAUUCUAAAUUUGCUUCUAAGUCUCAUGAAGGUUUUCUACUAGGUUAUGGCUCAAACUCUCACACAUACUAUGUCUACAACAAUUUCACCCGAAAGGUUGAAGAGACGGUAGAUGUGAAGUUUGACGAAUCUAACGGCUCGCAAGUAGAGCAAUUGCCAAUUGAUGUAGGAGACAAAGAUCCUUCGGAAGCAAUCCAAGACUUGUCUAUUGGCAAGGUUCGUCCAACGAAGGUGAAGGAGAGUACCUCGUCCGUCCAAGUGGAAGCUUCUACUUCACGACAAGGUGAACCAAGAGUUGAUACGAAAGCAUCCACAAGUGGGACACACCAAAAUGAAGAAAACAAGGAAGUGCAUCAAGAACGUCAACAACCUCCUUCUCCACCACGGCAAGAGAACGACAACGCCAACAAUGAAGAAGAUCAAGAAGAAGAAGAAGAAGAUGAAGAAGAUGUUCAACCAAGACCCAAGCAAAAGCUUUCACGAGUUCGAGCAAGGAUUGCUAAAGACCAUCCCGUCGAGCAAAUCUACAAUGAUAUUCAAACUGGGAGAAUCACUCACUCUAAAACUCAUUUAGCUAACUUUUGCGAAAACUAUUCUUUCAUCUCUAGCAUUGAACCUAUGAAGGUCGAAGAAGCAUUGGAAGAUCCGGAUUGGAUAAACGCUAUGCAUGAAGAGCUACACAACUUUGAGAGAAACCAAGUUUGGACAUUGGUUGAGAAGCUCGACAACAACCACAACAUCAUCGGUACCAAAUGGGUGUUUCGCAACAAGCAAGAUGAAGAUGGACAAGUUGUUCGCAACAAAGCAUGUCUCGUCGCCCAAGGCUACACACAAGUUGAAGGUAUGGACUAUGGUGAGACUUAUGCUCCUGUUGCUAGACUUGAGUCUAUUCGCAUCUUACUUGCCUAUGCUAAUCACCAUGAUAUCAUAUUGUACCAAAUGGAUAUUAAAAGUGCUUUUCUAAAUGGUGAAAUAGAGGAGGAAGUUUAUGUUAAACAACCUCCCGGCUUUGUCAAUCCUAAGAAACCCAAUCAUGUCUAUAAACUUCGCAAAGCUCUUUAUGGUCUUAAACAAGCUCCUAUAGCUUGGUACAAAUGCUUGACUAAGUUUCUUCUUGGAAAGGGAUUUGAAAUUGGGAAAAUUGAUUCUACUCUUUUUACUAAAAGGGUUAAUGGAGAAUUAUUUGCAUGCCAAAUUUAUGUUGAUGAUAUCAUAUUUGGAUCAACUAACCCUCAUUUUAGUGAGAAGUUUGGAAAGCUAAUGUCGAAGAAGUUUGAGAUGUCAAUGAUGAGUGAACUCAAAUUCUUUCCUGGGUUGCAAAUCAAGCAAACUAAGGAAGGUACUUUUGUCUCUCAAACGAAGUACACUAAGGACUUAUUCAAGAAGUUCAAUAUGCAAGAAUGCAAAGGUAUGUCUACACCCAUGCCUACUAGUGGACAUCUUGAUUUGACCAAAGAUGGUGAACCGGUUGAUCAAAAGGUCUAUCGCUCUAUGAUUGGUUCAUUGUUAUACCUAUGUGCUUCACGUCUCGAUAUUAUGCUAAGUGUGUGCAUGUGUGCAAGAUAUCAAGCUGCUCCUAAAGAAUGUCAUCUUAAGGCUGUGAAAAUGAUAGUGAGAUACUUAAUACAUACACCAAAUUUUGGCAUUUGGUAUCCUAAGAGGGCCUCUUUCGAUCUUGUUGGCUACUCUAACUCGGACUAUGCCGGAGACAAGGUUGAUAGAAAGUCCACUUUGGGUACUUGUCAAUUUCUUGGUAGAUCUCUUGUGUCUUGGUCCUCCAAGAAACAAAACUCGGUAUCCUUAUCCACCGUAGAAGCAGAAUACAUUGCCGCUGGUUCAUGUUGUGCUCAAUUACUUUGGAUGACCCAAACUCUUAAAGAUUAUGGGAUAUAUGUGAAACAUGUUCCAUUACUUUGUGACAAUGAAAGUGCUAUCAAAAUUGGUCAUAAUCCUAUGCAACAUUCUUGAACUAAGCAUAUUGAAGUUCGUCAUCAUUUCAUUCGAGAUCAUGUUGCUAAGGGUGACAUUGAUCUUAAGCAUGUUCGCACCGAAAAACAAUUAGUGGAUAUAUUCACUAAACCUCUUGAUGAGAAAGUGUUUUGCAGGUUGAGAGGAGAAUUGAACAUCAUAGAUGCUUCAAACUUGGAGUAGAAACUCCAUUGGAUACAUGCAAGACAUGAGCUUAUGACUAAUCCUUGAUAUUUCUCUUAUGAUGAAAAUCUUAUGUCUUGGAUAUAUUUGCUUCUUGCAUGUUAUCUAACCCAUGUAGGUACUUGGUUGAAUCAAAUUCCAUGAGAUUGUAACCUACUCACAUCUUGAGCAAUCUCUACAUCACCAAGUCUCUAUACAAUGGUGGUUGAAGACAAGGAAGCAUGGAACCAUUCAAACAUAUCCUUUGACAAAUUCUAUGUUAAGCUUCAUGAUUGUCAUUUUUGGAUACACAAGUGCUCUUCCUUGCAAGAACUAACCCAUGUAGGUAGAUGGACUCAAAUUCCAAGUGGUGCUCCCAACUCUUGAUGAGCUACAUCAACCUUGAGCAACCCACACAAGUUCAACUACAUGAUCAACACCACCAACCAAGGUAUGUUAUUCCAUCUUAGAGAAGCUUUACUCCGAGUCAUGAGAUAAAGCAACUCGACAAGAUGUGAAUACAUCAAGAUGCUUAAACCAAAAAUGGUAACCCCAUUUUGAGCUUAAACGAUGAGUAUGACCUAUGAUCAAGUGAUCUCUCUUGACUCCUAAGUCAAUAUACUCUAACAUAGGUGACUUUGUCACCGACCAUCUCUAGAUGAAGUUCUCUUGAGUGUUUCUCUGUGUUUUUGCAUUUGUCUCAUGCAUAUUUGUUUCCCCUUUCAAAAAAAAACCUCAUCUAGAUUUCUUUCUUUUCUUUUUGUUUGCUCUGCAUUUUAUGCAUCAAUUCAUUGCAUAUCAUUCAGUAAAUUCCUUGCAAAUCUUUGUGAGAUCUUUCUAGACUAGUGAGCUGAGGUGACAAGUGUUUUCUCUGUGAUGAACUCGGUUACACCGAUUUGUUAUUUUUGGUCCAACCGAAACCUUUCGGUACCACCGAAGCAUACCACUCGGUGCCACCGAUUUCACAACAGGAAAAACAGUUUGCCACUUAUUCUGUGUUUCCUCUGAUCCAGCUCCGCUCAAUGAAUCUUGUCCUCUAACAAGCAUCACAUUUUUAUCAAGUGCUUUAUGUUGUGACUCAAGGAUCAAACCCAUUCACGACAAAUUCCAGAGGGGGAGAGAGAGAUCACAUUUUUAUCAAGCCCUUCUUGGAAAUUGACGUCAAAGGGGGAGAGAGAGAUCACAUCAAAGCUUAUCAUUUUAGAGAGAGUAUCACCUUCUCAGGGGGAGAGAGAUCCUUCAGGGAGAGAGAGAGAGAGAGAGAGAGAGAUCUCCAGGGGGAGAGAAUACUAGUAGAAAGUAUUUCUCAAGGAUCCGAGAUGCUUGGUGUUCAAGAGGAGAGAUGCCACAUGUCUUCUUGAGGGGAAAGACAUGUUCAUAUGUGCUUAGUUGCAUUAGUUUGCAUUAGCUCUGUUCAUUUAUAUCUUUCAGCUCUGAUUUUCUGUUCCCUAUCUUCUCCCAGUAUCCCAUGCUAGAUUCAGGGGGAGCAAGACAUCCAAGGGAAAGGAAUCAUUCAAAUUCAUUGCAUAUCUUUACUCUUGGGGACAUGUCUAAUCAAAUGUGGUACUUAGUACUCACUCUCUACAUGUCAUCCCAGUCUUGGUAUUCUUGUGGUUUCUUCUGUUUGCUCUGGCUAGUAGAUGUAUUUGUGUUAUCUAACCUUGUUUACACAGGUUCAUUCCAUCCUAAGCCUACUCAAGACUACAAGGUAAGUAUAUGCAUCACAAUCAUGUGUAUGAGGAAUUCUUGCUAAUGUACAUACUGUUUGCAAGAAGGGCUCAUGGGCAUGAAGGUAUUUCCUUUAAUACUUUUUGCUCUAAUGCAUAUGGCCAAGAUACAUGUAACACAUUGCCUGCUCUAUCAUGGUUAUGCUCUCACAUGCUUCUAUAUUUCAUAUUCACAUGAUUGCAUACAUGUAGGGGGAGCCUAUGCUUGUUACAUGUCUUUCCAAAGCUUUACUUGCUAUUCUUUAUAUCCUUAUCUAAAGCUUUGAUGUAUGUUGUCAUCAAUUACCAAAAAGGGGGAGAUUGAAAGCACAAGUGCUCCCUCGGUGGUUUUGGUAAUUAAUGUCAACAUAUCUCUUGUUGGACUAACACCUUUAUCUAGUAUAUUUCAGACAAGUUCAACAUUGGAGUGGCAUGGACUAAAGGAUGUGGGAACUCCUUCAAGAUGCUAAGGACAAAGGAUUGGCUCAAGCUUCAAGCUCAAGACUCUUCAUUUUACAUUUCAGUGAUCCAAGAUCACAUUGAGUCUAUAGGAAAAGCCAAUACUAUCAAGGAGGGAUGAGGUGUUGCUUAAUGAGCCUCUUGCUUCAUGUGCUUAGUGAUAUGCUCCAAAAACCCUCAGCUACUUUCUCACGUCCACAUAUGACCUAAACCUAAAGCCAAAAUUGGCCACACCUAUUCUUUCUAUCCGGCGCCACCGAGUUUGGAUGUCUUAGCCACUGCCACAAACCCUAGGUAAAUCGGUCUUACCGAUAGGGAUCUCGGUCUCACCGAGAUGGGAUUGUAAUCUCUCUAUGUAUGUCCAUUAUCAAAAUCGGUCUCACCGAGUUUGAGUAAUCGGUACUACCGAGAUUACAAUGCAAACUCUCUGGUUAACUUAUUACCAAAAUCGGUCCCACCGAGUUUGAGUAAUCGGUCCCACCGAGUUUGCCUGACCAACUCUCUGGUUAGCUAAUUACCAAAAUCGAUUCCACUGAGUUUGUGUAAUCGGUCUUAUCGAGAUUACAUUAUGCCCUAACCCUAACCAUAUCGGUCCCACCGAAAAUCCUAACGGUCACUAAAUUUGCUAAAUCGGUCCGACCGAGUUUGUUGAUUCGGUCCCACCGAGUUUGGUAAAUUGUGUGUAACGGUUAGAUUUUGUGUGGAGGCUAUAUAUACCCCUCCACCUCCUCUUCAUUCGUGGAGAGAGCCAUCAGACUAAACCUACACUUCCAACUUACCAUUUCUGAGAAAGAACCACCUACUCAUGUGUUGAGGCCAAGAUAUUCCAUUCCUACCAUAUGAAUCUUGAUCUCUAGCCUUCCCCAAGUUGCUUUCCACUCAAAUCUUCUUUCCACCAGAUCCGAAUCCUAUGAGAGAGAGUUGAGUGUUGGGGAGACUAUCAUUUGAAGCACAAGAGCAAGGAGUUCAUCAUCAACGCACCAUUUGUUACUUCUUGGAGAGUGGUGUCUCCUAGAUUGGCUAGGUGUCACAUGGGAGCCUCCGACAAGAUUGUGGAGUUGAACCAAGGAGUUUGUAAGGGCAAGGAGAUCGCCUACUUCGUGAAGAUCUACCGCUAGUGAGGAAAGUCCUUCGUGGGAGACGGCCAUGGUGGGAUAGACAAGGUUGCUUCUUCGUGGACCCUUCUUGGGUGGAGCCCUCCGUGGACUCGCGCAACCAUUAACCUUCGUGGGUUGAAGUCUCCAUCAACGUGGAUGUACGAUAGCACCACCUAUCGGAACCACGCCAAAAACAUUCGUGUCUCCAAUUGCGUUUGAAUCCUCCAAAACACUUCCCUUUACAUUCUUGCAAGGUAAAUGCUUCAUUUUCCGCUGCUCAUAUACUCUUUGCAUGCUUGCUUGCUAUAUGUUGUGAAUGUUAAAUUUGUGCCUAAACUCCACUUAAACUUAAAAAGGGUUAAAAACUGCAACUUUGGUACUUAGUGUCUAAUCACCCCCCCUCUAGACACCUCUUCUCAAGGUCCUACACUAACAGAUGGGUCUUGUCCAUCACAUCAUUCUCUAAUGAUGUGAUCCCGCUCAUAAAAUGACAAUACGUGUCUAUGGUUAGGAAACUUAACCAUCUUUGAUUAACGAGCCAGUCAAGUAGAGGCAUACUAGGGACACUCUGUUUGACUAUGUAUUCACACAUGUACUAAGUUUCCGGUUAAUACAAUUCUAGCAUGAAUAAUAAAAAUUUAUCAUGAUAUAAGGAAAUAUAAAUAACAACUUUAUUAUAGCCUCCAGGGCAUAUUUCCUUCAGUCUCCCACUUGCACUAGAGUCAAUAAUCUAGAUUACAUAGUAAUGAUUCUAACACCCAUGGAUUUUUGGUGCUGAUCAUGUUUUGCUCGUGGAAGAGGCUUAGUCAACGGGUCUGCAACAUUCAGAUCUGUGUGUAUUUUGCAAACUUCUAUGUCUCCCUCCUUGACUAGAUCGCGGAUGGAAUUGAAGCGUCUCUUGAUGUGCUCGGUUCUCUUGUGAAAUCUGGAUUCCUUCGCCAAGGCUAUUGCUCCAGUAUUGUCACAAAAGAUUUUCGUUGGACCCGAUGCACUAGGUAUUACACCUAGACCGAUAUGAACUCCUUCAUCCAGAUUCCUUCAUUUGCUGCUUCAGAUGCACCUAUGUACUCCGCUUCACAUGUAGAUCCCGCCACGACGCUCUUCUUGGAACUGCACCAACUGACAGCUCCACCAUUCAAUAUAAAUACGUAUCUGGUUUGAGACUUAGAGUCAUCCAGAUCAGAGCCAAAGCUUGCAUCAACAUAACCAUUUACGACGAGCUCUUUGUCACCUCCAUAAACGAGAAACAUAUCCUUAGUCCUUUUCAGGUAUUUCAGGAUGUUCUUGACCGCUGUCUAGUGAUCCACUCCUGGAUUACUUUGGUACCUCCCUGCUAAACUAAUAGCAAGGCACACAUCAGGUCUGGUACACAGCAUUGCAUACAUGAUAGAACCUAUGGAUUAGGAAUAGGGAAUGACUUUCAUUUUCUCUCUAUCUUCUGCAGUGGUUGGGCAAUGAGUCUGUCUCAACUUCGCACCUUGUAACACAUGCAAGAACCCUUUCUUUGACUGAUCCAUUUUGAACUUCUUCAAAACUUUAUCAAGGUAUGUGCUUUUUGAAAGUCCAAUUAAGCGUCUUGAUCUAUCUCUAUAGAUCUUGAUGCCCAAUAUAUAAGCAGCUUCACCGAGGUCUUUAUUGAAAAUUCUUAUUCAAGUAUGCUUUUAUGCUAUUUAGAAAUUCAGUAUCAUUUCUGAUCAACAAUAUGUCAUCUACAUAUAAUAUCAGAAAUGCUAUAGAGCUCCCACUCACUUUCUUGUAAAUACAUGCUUCUCCAAAAGUCUGUAUAAAACCAUAUGCUUUGAUCUAUAUCAAAGUGUAUAUUCCAACUCCGAGAGGCUUGCACCAGACCAUAAAUGGAUCGAUGGAGCUUGCACACUUUGUUAGCACCUUUUGGAUCGACAAAACCUUCUAGUUGCAUCAUAUACAACUCUUCUUUGAGGUAUCCAUUAAGGAAUGCAGUUUUGACAUCCAUUUGCCAAAUUUCAUAAUCAUAAAAUGCAGCAAUUGCUAACAUGAUUCGGAUAGACUUAAGCAUCGCUACGGGUGAGAAGGUCUCAUCGUAGUCAACUCCUUGAACUUGUUGAAAACCUUUCGCAACAAGUCGAGCUUUGUAGACAGUAACAUUACCAUCAGUGUCAGUCUUCUUCUCGAAGAUCCAUUUAUUCUCUAUUGCUUGCUGAUCAUCGGGCAAGUCAACCAAAGUCCACACUUUGUUCUCGUACAUGGAUCUCAUCUCAGAUUUCAUGGCCUCAAGCUAUUUCACGGAAUCUGGGCUCAUCAUCGCUUCCGCAUAGUUCGUAGGUUCGUCAUGGUCAAGUAACAUGACCUCCAGAACAGGAUUACUGUACCACUCUGGUGCGGAUCUUGCUCUAGUUAACCUAUGAGGUUCAGUAGUAACUUGAUCUGAAGUUUCAUGAUCAUCAUCAUUAGCUUCCUCGCUGAUUGGUGUAGGAAUCACGGGAACUGAUUUCUAUGAUGAACUACUUUCCAAUUCAGGAGAAGGUACAAUUACCUCAUCAAGUUCUACUUUCCUCCCACUCACUUCUUUCAAGAGAAACUCCUUCUCUAGAAAGGAUCCAUUCUUAGCAGCGAAUAUCUUGCCUUCGGAUCUGUGAUAGAAGGUGUACCCAACAGUCUCCUCUGGGUAUCCUAUGAAGACACAUUUCUCCGAUUUGGGUUCGAGCUUAUCAGUUUUAAGCUUUUUCACAUAAGCAUCAUAGCCCCAAACAUUAAGAAACGACAACUUGGGUUUCUUGCCAAACCACAGUUCAUAUGGUGUCAUCUCAAUGGAUUUAGAUGGUGCCCUAUUUAAUGUGAAUGCAACCGUCUCUAAAGCAUAACCCCAAAACGAUAGCGGUAAAUCAGUAAGAGACAUCAUAGAUCGCACCAUAUCCAAUAAAGUACGGUUACAACGUUUGGACACACCAUUACACUGUGGUGUUCUAUGUGGCGUGAGUUGCGAAACUAUUCCGCACUGUUUCAAAUGAAGACCAAACUCAUAACUCAAAUAUUCACCUCCACGAUCAGAUCGUAGAAAUUUUAUUUUUCUUGUUACGAUGAUUAUCCACUUCACUCUGAAAUUCUUUGAACUUUUCAAAUGUUUCAGACUUAUGCUUCAUCAAGUAGAUAUACCCAUAUCUACUCAAAUCAUCUGUGAAGGUCAGAAAAUAAUGAUACCCGCCGCGAGCCUCAACACUCAUCAGACCACAUACAUCAGUAUGUAUUAUUUACAAGAAGUCUGUUGCUCGCUCCAUUGUUUCGGAGAAUGGAGUCUUAGUCGUCUUGCCCAUGAGGCAUGGUUCGCAAGCAUCAAGUGAUUCAUAAUCAAGUGAUUCCAAAAGCCCAUCAGCAUGGAGUUUCUUCAUGCGCUUUACACCAAUAUGAACUAAACGGAAGUGCCACAAAUAAGUUGCACUAUCAUUAUUAUACUUAUAUCUUUUGGCUUCAAUACUAUGAAGAUGGAUGAGUCUACUUUGGGGAGUCUUAGACAUAGAGUGUCUAUACUUGAUGGAGAGUAUUUUCAUGAGUGGAAAAAUGAGAUGCUUGUAAUUUUCAAUCAAUAUCAUUUGAACAAGUACAUUGCUAGUCCUUGUGCACCUUGUGUUGAUCCUAUGCAUCCUACCCUUGAUGAGUCUAUUGACAUGAUUAGGAAUGUUAGAACUGUUAAUCUUAUCACUAGAGGCUUGCCUAGAAACUUGAUUAUAAAAUUGCCUACUCUUGAGUGUGCCUACACUAUAUGGAAAUUUCUUGAGGAACGAUUUCCAGAUUAUUCUUUGAAAAAUCUUGAUGAAAUUCUCCAUAAGUCUAUUGCUUUGAGUAAGAUGAAUACUAGUGAUCCUAUGUUUGGUGAUCGUCUAUUUGAGCUUACGAGCCUCAUGCGUGCCAAAGGAAAUGUUGGUAUUAUUAGUGAUAUUAUUUCUGAAGCUAUAAAAAUUCAUAGACAAGAUCAUUGUCAAACCCACUCUAACGAAUCACCCUCUCUAGGUUUUGAUCCACCACAUGACGAUGUUGAACAUGGAUACUAUGACGAGGAUGAUGAAAGUGACUUCGAUCUUGAUGAUGCAAUGAGACACUUUGGUCUUAUGGCAAAUCUUCGGGGAUAUAUGUCAGGAGGAAAGGAAUGGGUUCUUGAUAGUGGAUGUACCGAUCACAUGACCGGAGAUAAAGACAUGUUUCGUGAGCUUGCUGAUAAUGAUAGUCCUCGAAAGUAUGCCACUUUCGGUGACAACUCAAAGGGUAAGGUGGUUGGCCUCGGUAAGGUGGCCAUAUCACAUGAUAGCUCCAUACAAAAUGUUAUGCUCGUUGAAUCUCUUGGAUACAACUUACUUUCAGUAUCUAGACUUGCUGACUUUGGUUUCAAUGUCUUAUUUACUGAAGUUGAUUGCCAAGUGUUUCAUCGAGACAAUCAUAAAAUGGUCUUUACCGGUAUACAUAGAGGUGAUCUUUACAUUGUUGAUUUCACUAAAAAGGCCCAACCUAAAACUUGCUUCAUUGCUAAAUCCUCAAAAGGUUGGUUAUGGCAUAGACGACUAGGUCAUGUUGGCAUGCGAAACCUUGACAAGCUUAUUAAAGGGAAUCAUAGCCUUGGAGUUAAUGAUGUCAUUUUUGAUAAGGAUAGACUUUGCAGUGCUUGUCAAGCAGGUAAACAGGUUGGAGGAAGGCAUCCCGUGAAGAACAUCAUGACCACAAGGAGGCCACUUGAGCUACUUCACAUGGAUCUUUUUGGUUCCAACUCUUACAAGAGUCUCGGUGGAAAUUCUUUUGGUCUACUUAUAGUUGAUGAUUUUUCAAGAUUUACGUGGGUGUUCUUUCUCGAUGAUAAAUCGCAGGUCCAAAAGAUCUUCAAGAACUUCGCUAGGAAGGCCCAAAAUCAAUUUGAAGUGAAGAUCAAGAAGGUUCGCAACGACAACGGAACGAAGUUCAAGAACGCAAAUGUGGACACCUUUCUUGACGAAGAAGGGAUUUCACACGAGUUCUCGGCUACGUACACACCUCAACAAAAUGGAGUUGUUGAGAGGAAGAACCGGACGCUCAUUGAAAUGGCGAGAACGAUGCUUGAUGAGUACAAGACACCGAAGCACUUUUGGGCAGAAGCGGUUAAGACAGCUUGUCAUGCAACAAAUCGCUUGUAUCUUCACAAGCUACUCGGCAAGAUGGCAUACGAGCUCCUCACCGGUAACAAACCCCAAGUUGGAUACUUUCGAGUAUUCGGCUCAAAGUGCUACAUUCUUGAUAAGCAUCGUCGUUCUAAAUUUGCUUCUAAGUCUCAUGAAGGUUUCCUACUAGGUUAUGGCUCAAACUCUCACACAUACCGUGUCUACAACAAUUUCACCCAAAAGGUUGAAGAGACGGUAGAUGUGAAGUUUGAUGAAUCUAACGGCUCGCAAGUAGAGAAAUUGCCAAUUGAUGUAGGAGACAAAGAUCCUUCGGAAGCAAUCCAAGACUUGUCUAUUGGCAAGGUUCGUCCAACGGAGGUGAAGGAGAGUACCUCGUCCGUACAAGUGGAAGCUUCUACUUCACGACAAGGUGAACCAAGAGUUGAUACGGAAGCAUCCACAAGUGGGACACACCAAGAUGAAGAAAACGAGGAAGUGCAUCGAGAACGUCAACAACCUCCUUCUCCACCACGACAAGAGAACGACAACGCCAACAAUGAAGAAGAUCAAGAAGAAGAAGAAGAUGAUGAUGAAGAAGAUGUUCAACCAAGGACCAAGCAAAAGCUUUCACGAGUUCGAGCAAGAAUUGCUAAAGACCAUCCCGUCGAGCAAAUCUACAAUGAUAUUCAAACCGGGAGAAUCACUCGCUCUAAAACUUGUUUAGCUAACUUUUGUGAAAACUAUUCUUUCAUCUCUAGCAUUGAACCUAUGAAGGUCGAAGAAGCAUUGGAAGAUCCGGAUUGGAUAAAUGCUAUGCAUGAAGAGCUACACAACUUUGAGAGAAACCAAGUUUGGACAUUGGUUGAGAAGCCCGACAACAACCACAACAUCAUCGGUACCAAAUGGGUGUUUCGCAACAAGCAAGAUGAAGAUGGACAAGUUGUUCGCAACAAAGCAUGUCUCGUCGCCCAAGGCUACACACAAGUCGAAGGUAUGGACUAUGGUGAGACUUAUGCUCCUGUUGCUAGACUUGAGUCUAUCGCAUCUUACUUGCCUAUGCUAAUCACCAUGAUAUCACAUUGUACCAAAUGGACAUUAAAAGUGCUUUUCUAAAUGGUGAAAUAGAGGAGGAAGUUUAUGUCAAACAACCUCCCGGCUUUGUCAAUCCUAAGAAACCAAAUCAUGUUUACAAACUUCACAAAGCUCUUUAUCGUCUUAAACAAGCUCCUAGAGCUUGGUACAAAUGCUUAACUAAGUUUCUUCUUGGAAAGGGAUUUGAAAUUGGGAAAAUUGAUUCUACUCUUUUUACUAAAAGAGUUAAUGGAGAACUAUUUGUGUGCCAAAUCUAUGUUGAUGAUAUUAUAUUUGGUUCAACUAACCCUCAUUUUAGUGAGAAGUUUGGAAAGCUAAUGUCGAAGAAGUUUGAGAUGUCAAUGAUGAGUGAACUCAAAUUCUUUCUUGGGUUGCAAAUCAAGCAAACUAAGGAAGGUACUUUUGUCUCUCAAACGAAGUACACUAAGGACUUAUUCAAGAAGUUCAAUAUGCAAGAAUGCAAAGGUAUGUCUACACCCAUGCCCACUAGUGGACAUCUUGAUUUGACCAAAGAUGGUGAACCAGUUGAUCAAAAGGUCUAUCGCUCUAUGAUUGGUUCAUUGUUAUACAUAUGUGCUUCACGUCCUGAUAUUAUGCUAAGUGUGUGCAUGUGUGCAAGAUAUCAAGCUGCUCCUAAAGAAUGUCAUCUUAAGGCUGUGAAAAGGAUAAUGAUAUACUUAAUACAUACACCAAAUUUUGGCAUUUGGUAUCCUAAGAGGGCCUCUUUCGAUCUUGUUGGCUACUCUGACUCAGACUAUGCCGGAGACAAGGUUGAUAGAAAGUACACUUCGGGUACUUGUCAAUUUCUUGGUAGAUCUCUUGUGUCUUGGUCCUCCAAGAAACAAAACUCGGUAUCCUUAUCUACCGCUGAAGCGGAAUACAUUGCCGCUGGUUCAUGUUGUGCUCAAUUACUUUGGAUGACCCAAACUCUUAAAGAUUAUGGGAUAUAUGUGAAACAUGUUCCAUUGCUUUGUGACAAUGAAAGUGCUAUCAAAAUUGGACAUAAUCCUGUGCAACAUUCUCGAACUAAGCAUAUUGAAGUUCGUCAUCAUUUCAUUCGAGAUCAUGUUGCUAAGGGUGACAUUGAUCUUAAGCAUGUUCGCACCGAAAAGCAAUUAGCGGAUAUAUUCACUAAACCUCUUGAUGAGAAAGUGUUUUGUAGGUUGAGAGGAGAAUUGAACAUCAUUUAUGCUUCAAACUUGGAGUAGAAACUCCAUUGGAUACAUGCAAGACAUGAGCUUAUGACUAAUCCUUGAUAUUUCUCUUAUGAUGAAAAUCUUAUAUCUUGGACAUAUUUGCAUCUUGCAUGUUAUCUAACCCAUGUAGGUACUUGGUUGAAUCAAAUUCCAUGAGAUUGUAACCUACUCACAUCUUGAGCAAUCUCUACAUCACCAAGUCUCUAUACAAAGGUGGUUGAAGACAAGGAAGCACGGAACCAUUCAAACAUAUCAUUUGACAAAUUCUAUGUUGAGCUUCAUGAUUGUCAUUUUUGGAUACACAAGUGCUCUUCCUUGCAAGAACUAACCCAUGUAGGUAGAUGGACUCAAAUUCCAAGUGGUGCUCCCAACUCUUGAUGAGGCACAUCAACCUUGAGCAACCCACAUAAGUUCAACUACAUGAUCAACACCACCAACCAAGGUAUGUUAUUCCAUCUUAGAGAAGCUUUACUCCAAGACAUGAGCUAAAGCAACUCGACAAGAUGUGAAUACAUCAAGAUGCUUGAACAAAAAAUGGUAACCCCAUUUUGAGCUUAAACGAUGAGUAUGACCUAUGAUCAAGUGAUCUCACUUGACUCCUAAGUCAAUAUACUCUAACAUAGGUGACUUUGUUGCCGACCAUCUCUAGAUGAAGUUCUCUUAUGUUCAUCUCUGUGUUUUUGCAUUUGUCUCAUGCAUAUUUGUUUCCCCUUUCAAAAAAAAACUUCAUCUAGAUUUCUUUCUUUUCUUCUUGUUUGCUCUGCAUUUUAUGCAUCCAAUUCAUUGCAUAUCAUUUAGUUAAUUCCUUGCAAAUCUUUGUGAGAUCCUACUAGACUAGUGAGCUGAGGUGCCAAGUGUUUUCUCUGCGAUGAACUCGGUUCCACCGAUUAGUUAUUUUCGGUCCAACCGAAUUCUUUUGGUAAAACCGAAGCAUACAACUCGGUGCCACCGAUUUCACCACAGGAAAAACAGUUUGCCACUUAUUCUGUGUUUCGUCUGUUCUAGCUCUACUCAAUGAAUCUUGUCCUCUACAAGCAUCACAUUUUUACAAAUGCUUUGUGCUGUGACUCAAGGAUCAAACCCAUUCACGACAAAUUCUAGAAGCCCUUCUUGGAAAUUGAUGUCAAAGGGGGAGAGAGAGAUCACAUCAAAGCUUAUCAUUUAGAGAGAGAUCACAUCAGAGAAUAUCACUUCCACAGGGGGAGAGAGAGAGAUCUCCAGGGGGAGAAAAUACUCAAGUAGAAAGUAUUUCUCAAGGAUCCCAGAUGCUUGGUGUUCAAGAAGAGAGAUGCCACAUGUCUUUUUGGGGUAAAGACAUGUUCAUAUGUGCUUACUUGCAUUAGUUUGCACUAGCUCUGUUCAUUCAUAUUCUUCAGCUCUGAUUUUCUGUUCCCUCUCUUCUCCCAGUAUCCCAUGCUAGAUUCAGGGGGAGCAAGACAUCUAAGGGAAAGAAAUCAUUUAAAUUCAUUGCAUAUCUUUACUCUUGGGGACAUGUCUAAUCCAACGUGGUACUUAGUACUCACUAUGUACAUGUCAUCCCAGUCUUGGUAUUCUUGUGGUUUCUUCUGUUUGCCCUGGUUAGUGGAUGUACCUGUGUUAUCUAACCUUGUUUGUGCAGGUUCAUUCCAUCCUAAGCCAACUCAAGACUACAAGGUAAGUAUAUGCAUCACAAUCAUGUGUAUGAGGAUUUCUUGCUGAUGUACAUACUGUUUGCAAGAAGGACUCAUGAGCAUGAAGGUAUUUUCUUUAAUAUUCUUUGCUCUGAUGCAUAUGGCCAAGAUACAUGUAACACAUUGCUUACUCUGCCAUGGUUAUGCUCUAACAUGCUUCUAUAUUCUAUAUUUCACAUGAUUGCAUACAUGUAGGGGGAGCCUUUGCUUGUUACAUGUCUUUCCAAAGCUUUACUUGCUAUUCUUUAUAUCCUUAUCUAAAGCUUUGAUGUAUGUUGUCAUCAAUUACCAAAAAGGGGGAGAUUGAAAGCACAAGUGCUCCCUAGGUGGUUUUGGUAAUUAAUGUCAACAUAUCUCUUGUUGGACUAACACUUCUAUGUAGUAUAUUUCAGACAAGUUCAACAAUGAAGUGGCAUGGACUAAAGGAUGUGGAACUCCUUCAAGAUGCUAAGGACAAGGGAUUGGCUAAAGCUUCAAGCUCAAGACUCUUCAUUUUACAUUUCAGUGAUCCAAGAUCACAUUGAGUCUAUAGGAAAAGCCAAUACUAUCAAGGAGGGAUGAGGUGUUGCUUAAUGAGCCUCUUGCUUCAUGUGCUUAGUGGUAUGCUCCAAAACCCUCAACUACUUUCUCACAUCCACAUAUGACCUAAACCUAAAGCCAAAAUCGGUCACACCGAUUCUUUCUAUCCGGCGCCACCGAGUUCAGAUGUCAUAGCCACUGCCACAAACCCUAGGCAAAUCGGUUUCACCGAUAGGGAUCUCGGUCUCACCAAGAUGGGAUUGUAAUCUCUCUGUGUAUGUCCAUUAUCAAAAUCGGUCUUACUGAGUUUGAGCAAUCGGUCCUACCGAGAUUACAAUGCAAACUCUCUGGUUAACUUAUUACCAAAAUCGGUCCCACCGAGUUUGAGUAAUCGGUCCCACCGAGUUUGCCUGACCAACUCUCUGGUUAGCUAAUUACCAAAAUCGGUCUUACCGAGUUUGUGUAAUCGGUCUCACCGAGAUUACGUUAUGCCCUAACCCUAACCAUAUCGGUCCUACCGAGUUGCAUUUCGGUCCCACCGAAAAUCCUAACGGUCACUAGGUUUACCAAAUCGGUCUGACCGAGUUUGUUGAUUCGGUCCCACCGAGAUUGGUAAAUUGUGUGUAAUGGUUAGAUUUUGUGUGGAGGCUAUAUAUACCCCUCCACCUCCUCUUCAUUCGUGGAGAGAUCCAUCAGAACAAACUUACACUUCCAAUUUACCAGUUCUGAGAGAGAACUACCUACUCAUGUGUUGAGGCCAAGAUAUUCCAUUCCUACCAUAUGAAUCUUGAUCUCUAGCCUUCCCCAAGUUGCUUUCCACUCAAAUCUUCUUUCCACCAGAUCCAAAUCCUAUGAGAGAGAGUUGAGUGUUGGGGAGACUAUCAUUUGAAGCACAAGAGCAAGGAGUUCAUCAUCAACGCACCAUUUGUUACUUCUUGGAGAGUGGUGUCUCCUAGAUUAGCUAGGUGUCACUUGGGAGCCUCCGACAAAGAUUGUGGAGUUGAACCAAGGAGUUUGUAAGGGCAAGGAGAUCGCCUACUCCAUGAAGAUCUAGCGCUAGUGAGGCAAGUCCUUUGUGGGCAACGACCAUGGUGGGAUAGACAAGGUUGCUUCUUCGUGGACCCUUCUUGGGUGGAGCCCUCCAUGGACUCGCGCAACCGUUACCCUUCAUGGGUUGAAGUCUCCAUCAACGUGGAUGUACGAUAGCACCACCUAUCGGAACCACGCCAAAAACAUCCGUGUCUCCAACUGCAUUUGAAUCCUCCAAAACCCUUCCCUUUACAUUCUUGCAAGUUGCAUGCUUUACUUUCCGCUGCUCAUAUACUCUUUGCAUGCUUGCUUGCUAUAUGUUGUGAAUGUUCAACUUGUGCCUAAACUCCACUUAAACUUAAAGAAGUUAAAAAACUGCAACUUUGGUACUUAGUGUCUAAUCACCCCCCUCUAGACACCUCUUCUCAAGGUCCUACAUAUGUACUCAUUGAAAAAUCUUAUCAAGCGUCUUGAUCUAUCUAUAUAAAUCUUGAUGCUCAAUCUGUAAGUAGCUUCACCGAGUUCUUGCUUUGAAAAACUCUUAUUCAAGUAUCCUUUUAUGCUAUCCAGAAUUUCUAUAUCAUUUCCAAUCAACAAUAUGUCAUCUACAUAUAGUAUUAGAAAUGCUACAGAUCUCCCACUCACUUUCUUGUAAAUACAGGCCUUUCCAAAAGUCUGUAUAAAACCAUAUGCUUUGAUCAACUCAUCAAAGCGUAUAUUCCAACUCCGAGAUGCUUGCACCAGUCCAUUGAUGGAUCGUUGGAGCUUGCACAUUUUGUUAGCACCUUUUGGAUCGACAAAACCUUAUGGUUGCAUCAUAUACAACUUUUCUUCUAGAAAUCCAUUCAGGAAUGCAGUUUUGACAUCCAUUUGCCAAAUUUCAUAAUCAUAAAAUGCGGCAAUUGCUAACAUGAUUCGGACAGACUUAAGCAUCACUACGGGUGAGAAAGUCUCAUCGUAGUUAACCCCUUGAACUUGUCGAAAACCUUUUUGCGACAAGUCGAGCUUUGUAGAUAGUAACACUACUAUGAGUGUCUGUCUUCCUCUUGAAGAUCCAUUUAUUUUCUAUGGCUUGCCGAUCAUCGGGCAAGUCCACCGAAGUCCACACUUUGUUCUCAUACAUGGAUCCUAUCUCAGAUUUCAUGGCCUCCAGCCAUUUCGCGGAAUCUGGGCUCAUCAUCGCUUCCUCAUAGUUCGUAGGUUCGCCAUGGUCAAGUAACAUGACCUCCAGAAUAGGAUUACCGUACCACUCUGGUGUGGAUCUUACUCUGGUUGACCUACGAGAUUCGGUAGUAACUUGAUCUGAAGUUUCAUGAUCAAUAUCAUUAGCUUCCUCACUAAUUGGUGUAGAAAUCACUGGAACUGAUUUCUGUGAUGAACUACUCUCCAAUAAAUGAGUAGGUACAGUUACCUCAUCAAGUUCUACUUUCCUCCCACUCACUUCUUUCGAGAGAAACUCAUUCUCUAGAAAGGGUCCAUCUUAGCAACGAAUAUUUUGCCUUCGGACCUGUGAUAGAAGGUGUACCCAACAAUUUCCUUUGGGUAUUCUAUGAAGAUGCACUUCUCCGAUUUGGGUUCGAGCUUAUCAGGUUGAAAUUUUUUCACAUAAGCAUUGCGACUCCAAACUUUAAGAAACAACAGCUUAGGUUUAUUGCUAAACCAUAGUUCAUACAGUGUCGUCUCAACGGAUUUUGAUGGUGCCCUAUUUAAAGUGAAUGCAACUGUCUCUAAUGCAUAACCCCAAAACGAUAGUGGUAAAUCGGUAAGAUACAUCAUAGAUCGCACCAUAUCCAAUAAAGUGCGGUUACGACGUUCGGACACACCAUUACGCUGUGGUGUUCCAUGUGGCAUGAUCUGUGAAACUAUUCCACAUUGUUUUAUAUGAAGGCCAAACUCGUAACUCAAAUAUUCGUCUCCACGAUCAGAUCGUAGAAACUUUAUUUUUCUUGUUACGAUGAUUUUCCACUUCACUCUGAAAUUCUUUGAACUUUUCAAAUGUUUCAGACUUAUGUUUCAUCAAGUAGAUAUACCCAUAUCUGCUCAAAUCAUCUGUGAAGGUCAGAAAAUAACGAUACCUGCCACGAGCCUUAACACUCAUCGGAUCGCAUACAUCGGUAUGUAUUAUUUCCAAUAAGUCAGUAGCUCAUUCCAUUGUUCCAGAGAAUGAAGUUUUAGUCAUCUUGCCCAAAAGGCACGGUUCGCAAGCAUCAAAUGAUUCAUAACCAAGUGACUCCGAAAAUCCAUCUUUAUGGAGUUUCUUCAUGCGCUUUACACCGAUAUGACCCAAACGGCAGUGCCACAAAUAAGUUGCACUAUCAUUAUCAACCUUGCAUCUUUUGACAUCAAUAUUAUGAAUAUGUGUAUCACCAUGAUCAAGAUUUAAUAAACCAUCAACAUUGGGUGUAUGACCAUAGAAGGUUUUAUUCAUGUAAACAGAAUAACAAUUUAUUCUCUGUCUUAGAUGAAUAAUCGUAUCGCAAUAAACAUGAUCUAAUCAUAUUUAUGCUCACGCAAACACCAAUAACAAUUAUUUUGGUUCAACACUAAUCUCAAAAAUAUAGGGAGUGUACGAUGAUGAUCAUAUCAAUCUUGGAAUCACUUCCAACACACAUCGUUAUUUCACCCUCAACUAGUCUCUGUUUAUUCUGUAACUCCUGUUUCGAGUUACUAAUCUUAGCAACCGAACAAGUAUCAAAUACUCAGGGCCUACUAUAAACACUAUUAAGGUACGCAUCAAUAACCUGUAUAUCAAAUAUACCCUUGUUCACUUUGCCAUCCUUCUUAUCCACCAAAUAUUUAGGGCAUUUCCGCUUCCAGUGACCAUUUCCUUUGCAGUAGAAGCACUUAGUUUCAGGCUUCGGUCCAGCUUUGGGCUUCUUCACGGGAGUGACAACUUGCUUGCCAUUCUACUUGAAGUUUCCCUUUCUUUCCUUUUGCCCUUUUCUUGAAACUAGUGAUCUUGUCAAUCAUCAACACUUGAUGUUCUUUCUUGAUUUCUACCAUCGUCGAUUUCAGCAUCACGAAGAGCUCGGGAAUCAUUUUCGUCAUCCCUCACAUACUAUAGUUCAUCAUUAAGUUCUACUAACUUGGUGAUGGUGACUAGAGAACUCUGUCAAUCACUAUCUUAUCUGGAAGAUUAACUCCCACUUGAUUCAAGCGAUUGUAGUACUCAGAUAAUCUAAGCACUUGCUCACUAGUUGAGCAAUUCUCCUCCAUAUUUUAGGCGAAGUAUUUGUCAGAGGUCUCAUACCUCUUGACACAGGCAUGAGUAUGAAAUAUCAAUUUCAUCUCAUGGAACAUCUCAUAUGUUCCGUGACGUUUCAAAAACGUUUGUAGUCCCGGUUCUAAGCCAUAAAGCAUGGUGCACAAAACUAUCAAGUAGUCAUCAUAUUGAGCUAGCCAAACGUUCAUAACGUCUGCAUCUGCUCCUGCAAUAGGUCUGUCACCUAGCGGUGCAUCAAGGACAUAAAUCUUCUGUGCAGCAAUGAGGAUAAACCUCAGAUCACGGAUCCAAUCCGCAUCAUUGCUACUAACAUCUUUCAACAUAUUUUUCUCUAGGAACAUAUCAAAAUAAACAUAGGGAAGCAACAAUGCGAGUUAUUGAUCUAUAACAUAAUUUGCAAAAUACUAUCAGGACUAAGUUCAUGAUAAAUUAAAGUUCAAUUAAUCAUAUUACUUAGACAUCUCUCUAGUCAUCUAAGUGAUCACGUGAUCCAAAUCAACUAAACCAUGUCCGAUCAUCACAUGAGAUGGAGUAGUUUUCAACGGUGAACAUCACUAUGUUGAUCAUAUCUACUAUAUGAUUCAUGUUCGACCUUUCGGUCUCCGUGUUCCGAGGCCAUAUCUGUAUAUGCUAGGCUUGUCAAGUAUAACCUGAGUAUUUCGCGUGUGCAACUGUUUUGCACCCGUUGUAUUUGAACAUAGAGCCUAUCACACCCGAUCAUCACGUGGUGUCUCAGCACGAAGAACUUCCGCAAUGGUGCAUACUCAGGGAGAACACUUCUUGAUAAUUAGUGAGAGAUCAUCUUAAAAUGCUACCGUUAAACUAAGCAAAAUAAGAUGUAUAAAAGAUAAACAUCAUAUGCAAUCAAAAUAUGUGACAUGAUAUGGCCAUGAUCAUCUUGCGCCUUUGAUCUCCAUCUCCAAAGUACUGUCAUGAUCUCUAUCGUCACCAGCACGACACCAUGAUCUUCAUCAUCUUGAUCUAUAUCAAUGUGUCGUCACAUGGUCGUCUCGCCAACUAUUGCUCUUGCAACUAUUGCUAUCGCAUAGCGAUAAAGUAAAGCAAUUAUCUGGCACUUGCAUCUUAUGCAACUAAGAGACAACCAUAGGGCUUAUGCCAGUUGCCGAUAACUUCAACAAAACAUGAUCAUCUCAUACAACAACUUAUAUUUCAUCACGUCUUGACCAUAUCACAUCACAACAUGCCCUGCAAAAACAAGUUAGACGUCCUCUACUUUGUUGUUGCAAAUUUUACGUGGCUGCUACGGGCUGAGCAAGAACCGUUCUUACCUACGCAUCAAAACCACAACGAUAGUUCGUCAAGUUAGUGUUGUUUUAACCUUCUCAAGGACCGGGCAUAGCCACACUCGGUUAACUAAAGUUGGAGAAACAGACACCCGCCAGCCACCUGUGUGCAAAGCACGUCGGUAGAACCAGUCUCGUGUAAGCGUACGCGUAAUGUCGGUCCGGGCCGCUUCAUCCAACAAUACUGCCGAACCAAAGUAUGACAUGCUGGUAAGCAUUAUGACUUGUAUCGCCCACAACUCAUUUGUGUUCUACUCGUGCAUAUAACAUCUACGCGUAAAACCUAGGCUCGGAUGCCACUGUUGGGGAACGUAGUAAUUUCAAAAAUAUUCCCACGCACACGCAAGAUCAUGGUGAUGCAUAGCAACGAGAAGGGAGAGUGUAGUCCACGUACCCUUGUAGACCGAAAUCGGAAGCAUUAUAACAACGCGAUUGAUGUAGUCAUACGUUUUCACGAUCCGACCAAUCCAAGUACCAAACGUACGGCACCUCCGAGUUCAGCACACGUUCAGCUCAAUGACGAUCCCCGGACUCCAAUCCAGCAGGGUGUCGGGGAAGAGUUCCGUCAGCACGAUGGCGUGGUGACGGUGAUGAUGUUCUACCGAUGCAGGGCUUCGCCUAAGCACCGCUACGAUAUGACCGAGGUGGAAUAUGGUGGAGGGGGGCACCGCACACGGCUAAGGAACGAUCACAAAGAUCAACUUGUGUGUCAUGAUGUGCCCCCUGCCCCCGUAUAUAAAGGAGGGAGGGGGGAGGUGCUGCCGGACCCUAGGGGUGCGCCUGGAGGAGUCCUACUCCCACCGGGAGUAGGACUCCCCCCUCUUGCCUUGUUGGAGAAGGAAGGGGGAAGGGGGAAAGAGGGAAGGCCCCCCCUUCCUUGUCCUAUUCGGACUAGGGGUGAGGGGGCGCGCGGCCUGCCAUGGCCGGCCCUCCNNNNNNNNNNNNNNNNNNNNNNNNNNNNNNNNNNNNNNNNNNNNNNNNNNNNNNNNNNNNNNNNNNNNNNNNNNNNNNNNNNNNNNNNNNNNNNNNNNNNNNNNNNNNNNNNNNNNNNNNNNNNNNNNNNNNNNNNNNNNNNNNNNNNNNNNNNNNNNNNNNNNNNNNNNNNNNNNNNNNNNNNNNNNNNNNNNNNNNNNNNNNNNNNNNNNNNNNNNNNNNNNNNNNNNNNNNNNNNNNNNNNNNNNNNNNNNNNNNNNNNNNNNNNNNNNNNNNNNNNNNNNNNNNNNNNNNNNNNNNNNNNNNNNNNNNNNNNNNNNNNNNNNNNNNNNNNNNNNNNNNNNNNNNNNNNNNNNNNNNNNNNNNNNNNNNNNNNNNNNNNNNNNNNNNNNNNNNNNNNNNNNNNNNNNNNNNNNNNNNNNNNNNNNNNNNNNNNNNNNNNNNNNNNNNNNNNNNCAUAAACUCAUAAUAUAACUGUCAUCGAAACCUUAAGCGUGCGGACCCUACGGGUUCGAGAACUAUGUAGACAUGACCGAGACACGUUUCCGGUCAAUAACCAAUAGCGGAACCUGGAUGCUCAUAUUGGCUCCUACAUAUUCUACGAAGAUCUUUAUCGGUCAAACCGCAUAACAACAUACGUUGUUCCCUUUGUCAUCGGUAUGUUACUUGCCCGAGAUUCGAUCGUCGGUAUCUCAAUACCUAGUUUAAUCUCGUUAUCGGGAAGUCUCUUUACUCAUUAGGUAAUGCAUCAUUCCGUAACUAACUCAUUAGCUACAUUGCUUGCAAGGCUUAUAGUGAUGUGCAUUACCGAGAGGGCCCAGAGAUACCUCUCUGACAAUCGGAGUGACAAAUCCUAAUCUCGAAAUACGCCAACCCAACAAGUACCUUCGGAGACACCUGUAGAGCACCUUUAUAAUCACCCAGUUACAUUGUGACAUUUGGUAGCACACAAAGUGUUCUUCUGGUAAACGGGAGUUGCAUAAUCUCAUAGUCACAGGAACAUGUAUAAGUCAUGAAGAAAGCAGUAGCAACAUACUAAACGAUCAAGUGCUAAGCUAAUGGAAUGGGUCAAGUCAAUCACAUCAUUCUCCUAAUGAUGUGAUCCCGUUAAUCAAAUGACAACUCUUUGUCCAUGGCUAGGAAACAUAACCAUCUUUGAUAAACCAGCUAGUCAAGUAGAGGCAUACUAGUGACACUUAGUUUGUCUAUGUAUUCACACAUGUAUCAUGUUUCCAGUUAAUACAAUUCUAGCAUGAAUAAUAAACAUUUAUCAUGAUAUAAGGAAAUAAAUAAUAAAUUUAUUAUUGCCUCUAGGGCAUAUUUCCUUCAGAUAGGAAAGUAAAAGAUUGCAAAAUAGUAGAUCAGAAACUAGUAAGAUGUAAAAGAGAUUCAAUAUAAUGAAAAAGAGACCCCGGGGCCAUAGGUUUCACUAGUGGUUUCUCUCAAGAUAGUGAAUAUUACGGUGGCUGAACAAAUUACUGCCGAUCAAUUGAUCGAAAAGCGCAAAGUUACGAUGAUAUCCAAGGCAAUGAUCAUGAACAUAGGCAUCACGUCUGUGUCAAGUAGACCGAAAUGAUUCUACAUCUACUACUAUUACUCCACACAUCGACCAACUCCUGCCUGCAUCUAGAGUAUUAAGUUCAUGAAGAACAGAGUAACUGUAUCAAGUAAGAUGACAUGAUGUAGAGGAAUUAGCUCAAGCAAUAUGAUGAAAACCCCAUCUUUUUAUCCUCGAUGGAAACAAUACAAUACGUGUCUUGUUGCCCCUAUUGUCACUGGGAAAUGACACCGCAAGAUUGAACCCAAAGCUAAGCACUUCUCCCAUUGCAAGAAAGAUCAAUCUAGUAGGCCAAACUAAACCGAUAAUUCGAAGAAACUUGCAAAGAUAUCAAAUCAUGCAUAUAAGAAUUCAGAGAAGAACCAAAUAAUAUUCAUAGAUAAUCUGAUCAUAAAUUCACAAUUCAUCGGAUCUCGGCAAACACACCGCAAAAGAAUAUUACAUCGAAUAGAUCUCCAAGAACAACAAGGAGAACAUGGUAUUGAGAAUCAAAGAGAGAGAGAGAGAAAAUCAUCUAGCUACUAGCUAUGGACCCGUAGGUUUGUGGUAAACUAAUCACGCUUCAUCAGAGAGGCAAUGGUGUUGAUGAAGAAGCCCUCCAUGAUCGAAUCCCCCCCGGCAGGACGCUGAAAAAGGCCCCUAGAUGGGAUCUCACGGGUACAAAAGAUUGUGGCGGUGAAAAAAUAGUUUCGUGGUACCCCUUAAUGUUUUUAGGGUAUAACAGUACAUAUAGGCGAAGGAGUUAGGUCAGGGGAGCUACUAGGGGCCCACGAGGUAGGGGGCGCGCCCUCCUGCCUCGUGGCCGCCUCGUUGCGUUUCCGAAUUCAUCUCCAAGUCUUCUGGUUUCCUUCUGAUCCAAGAAAGAUCAUCACGAAGGUUUCAUUCAGUUUGGACUUAGUUUGGUAUUCCUUUUCUGCGAAACUCUAAAAUAGACAAAAAAACAUAAACUGACACUGGGCUCUCGGUUAAUACGUUUAUCCCAAAAAUAAUAUAAAAUAGCAUAUUAAUGCCUAUUAAACAUCCAAAAUAGAUAAUAUAAUAGCAUAGAACAAUCAAAAAAUAUAGAUACGUUGGAGACGUAUCAGCCACCGUCACACAACGCCAACCAAGACGUUGAACCUAACAAAAAAGGAGAACAUGGUCCCUCCCGCCAGAGGGGGGCCGAGAUCCUCUGCACCUCCAUGGCCCAAAGGCCAUCGGAGGUGGGGCGGAUCUAUGGCGGCGCCGCCGGAAGGAGGGAGAAGACUUUUCUUGAGAUUCACUCAACUAACUACUUCUAUACUUUUUUACUUUUGAAUAUACUAAUGAAAUUAAUAUUUUUUAAAGGAAUAUAACUUAGCAUAAAAUUCUACGAUGGUCGACCUAUGCAAAGAUUCAAAAGAGUGUGCCUAUGUAAAAUGCUAGAUUUAAGAUAUAUUUUUGUUUUUUAAGAACUAUGCAAAAUUACAAAAAUGAAAAACUUUUCUUCCAUAUAAACAACAUAAAGGUAAGUAAGUCAAGACAACUGCGGUUUUUUCUUUAUGUUUCAAUUUUGUUAGGUGUUUCAAUUAUGUUUGUCAAGCCCAAGCAUAUGCAAUAAUAAUAAUAAUUAGAAGCACCAAGCAAUAUAGACGUUCCCGUCACCACCACCACUACCACUACAUGUACACACUCACUCAAAGCAUCUACAAUGGGACCCCCCAUACACGUCCCAAAUGUCCGGGAUGGUUUUCCGGUCACUGGCCCGACGAGAAAGUGCCACCCCCGCACCUCACAAAUCUGGCCCAAACGCCCAGACUAACUGACAGUCCCCAUAUCUGGGAAGGAUAUGAGGACGCCCGAACAUGCUCGAACACACCCUCCAUGUAGGACUGACCGCAAGGGCCCACACAGUCACACGCAGAGAUUGUCGGUCUGACGCGCGCCUCCUUCGGUCCUCGAUGUGGACGCAUUAAUGGCUUUGCGUGGCGUCAUUCCAGUGUGCCACUCGAGGGCAAGUCCGGCUAUUUAAGUCGGACAACGGCAACCUAACCCUAGCUCGUCCCCAUUCCUUCCCUCUCCCUCCCACCCGUGUCGCAAGCUUCCAUUCGCUCACUGUAGCCACUAGCCAUGUCUCGACAGAGGAUCACCACAUACGCCAAGUUGAUGCCGAAGCACCCGUUGCAGCUGUUGGAGGAGAUCCGAGCUAGGGGUGCUGCUCGUGUCGUUGUCGGUCUGCCUCCGGAUUCGCCGGAGCCAGAGGAGGAGAAGGAGGCUACCAUGGAGGAAGACACCACUGCCAUGCAGGAGGAGUCGAAGCCAGUGGCGGAGGGCGCAUCCGAGGAGGAGGCAGUGGCAGGUCCGAUGCCUGCGAGCUUUGGCAUGGCCAACACCAUGGUAGAGUUUGAGGUGGCCCAGGCGGAGGAGUUGCUGGAGUAGCAGGCCCUCCUCGAGUCCUUCGAGUCAGAGCAUGAGGUGGAGGAUGAGGACGAGUCGAACAUGCGCAUGCCUCCAAUGACCACGAGGCCGAUGGCUCCGGCACCAACUUCGUCGACAUCUCAAACGACGAGGACGAGUAGUUUACGUCGAUCAUGCCUACUAUAGUUGUUUGAGAAGAAACUUGAGAAAUGUCCGGUUAGUGCCGGCGGGCGCGUCCAGACGCGUCCGCGGGCGUAUAGGAGCUCGGAGAUUCCAACUGUGGUUGUAGAUGCUCUUAACUCGCUUCAAGAUCGAGGUAACCACCAUACACGGACUGCUUUUGAUGGGGACAUCAUUUCCCACUAUGUGAAUAUUCUACCUUAAUGAAGCACACAAGAACAUUAAAGUUGAGAUUCAACCCCUAGUGGUUUAAGUUAUAGUCACCCUCCUAACCAUGUAACCACAUGUUGAUUCACGUGUAUAGAUAAUAGGCUGUUUGGAAUCAUACAGAUUUAAAUAGGAUUAAAAUCUCAAAAAGUAGAUGAUACCCGAUUGUUGCAGGAAUUGGUCGCUAUAUAUUUUGAUGAAGUUGGAACAUGAAUAUUUGAUUAUUUUAUGGAUGAACAUUAUUUAUAGAAUAUAAGUAGUGUGAUAAUUUUCACACACGUGGUUGCAUAUUGUGGUGGAUUUUUCAUGCAUGGUAGUAUGUGGAGGUAACCCUUUUUGCAUGCAUAGUUGCAUGCUGAGAUAAAUAGAAAAUAGUAUGUAGGAUACGCAAAUCGGAGUGAACCUAUGAUAUUUGUACUACCUAGACUUUUUAUGCGACAAGGAUCAGAUUUAUUAUAAAGAUUGGCUGAGAGUACAAAACACCCAAACAUAAUAAAAAUUACAUCGAGGUCCAUGGACCACCGAACGACCAUUGUCGCCGCCAGAGCGAGCCACGAUGCGCUGCUGUCGCCGCUCCCAUACCAGAGCUGGCCUGACCUUGUCAAUGACAACUGAGAAGUUUUCGUGCACGUGCCCCUAGGGACCAGCGCCCUGGAGCUGCAGUCGUUGCCUUUGAAUCCUUGAAUAAAUCUGAAGAACCCGACACCAAUAUUGCUGUUGCGUACGCACGGCGAGAAACCCUAACCUCGCCGCCCCAGGGAGCUCCGUCUAAUUCGUCCCAACGGAUGAAUUUGAGGAGGAUAGGAGCCCGGAAGAUUGACUGGAAAACGGAGCGCCGCCAUCCGUCCAAACGCCGCCCCAGUGAGGACUAAAACCCUACCUAUCUACUAGGAGGAGCCAAGACACCAGGAAUCUCCUCCCCGCCACCGGCCGCCGGAGCGGCAAGUGGAGGGGAGGUGAAUCCACGGGCUCAUCGCCAGUAGAUGAUAUCCGAUUGUUGCAGAAAUUGGUCGCUAUAUAUUUUGAUGAAGUUGGAACAUGAAUAUUUGAUUAUUUUAUCGAUGAAAAUUAUUUAUAAAUAUAAGUAGUGUGAUAAUUUCCACAUGCAUGGUUGCAUAUUGUGGUGGAUUUUUAUGCAUGGUAGUAUGUUGAGGUGACCCUUCUUCCAUGCAUAGUUGCAUGCUCAGAUAAAUAGAAAAUAGUGGGCGCCACUCUCUUAGGUACGUAGGAUAUGCAAAUCGGAGUGAACCUAUGAUAUUUGUACUACCUAGACUUUUUUGCGACAAUGAUGAGAUCUAUUAUAAAGAUUCGCCGGGAGUACAAAGUGCCUCAAACAUAAUAAAAAUUAUAUCAAGGUCCAGGGCCAUCGAACGACCAUUGCCGCCGCUAGAACGAGCCACGAUGCGCCGCUGUCGCCGCUCACAUACCGGAACCGGCCUGACCUUGUCGAUAACAGCCGUGAAGUUUUCAUGCACAUGCCCCUAAGGACCAGCGCCAUGGAGCCGCAGUCGUUGCCUUUGAAUCCUAGAAUAAAUCUGAAGAACCCGACACCAAAUAUUGCCGUUGCGUACGCACGGCGAGAAACCCUAACCUCGCCGCUCCAGGGAGCUGGUAGGAAUGUAUGCUGGAGCUUCGUCUAAUUCGUCCCAACGGAUGAACUUGAGGAGGAUCGGAGCCUAAAAGACUGACUCAAAAAUGGAGCGCCGCCAUCCGUCCAAACGCCGCCCAGUCAGGACUAAAACUCUACUUAUCUAAUAGGAGGAGCCGAGACACCGAGAAUCUCCCCCCCGCCACCGGCCGUCGGAGCGGCAAGCGGAGGGGAGACGAUUUCAUUGGCUCACUGCCGAAGAUCGAGAGGAGGAAGGCUUUCCCAAACCGUCUUGGGGGAGAGGAAAGAAAAGCUAAAUUCCAGGGUAGUUUUCUUAUACUGAUUUUGUACUAUCCAGAGUUCACAGGAGCUUUCAUGGGUUUCAAAAAGUUUGCUUCGUUGAGGCGGGGACCUAGAGACAACAUCAAGCUAUGCUAUGCUCAUGACGCGCCGGUGGUGGAUGUAGGAGGAAAAAUAUUUAAGAAUGUUUUUCCUAUUUUUUUGUAAGGGUGCGUUUGUAAGGACUUAGACCUCAUGCGAAAGGCAGCGCCGACAUUACCUACUACUUGUUUCUUGCACUUAGGGCGUGUAAAAAAUGUCAAAUAGGAUAAAUGAUUAGAUGAAGGAUAGAGAAAUCAUAAAAAAAAUUGUCUUCUCUUAAUUAAGAGAUGAGCUCCUAGCGCAAUUUCUCUCACCCCAUACUUAGGGAUACUAGUUACAGAUAAGACCAAGAUUUUGCAUAUGUUUUUAUUGUCUUAGGGCAUAUACAGUGAUUGAUAAGAUAGUUUUAUCUUUAACAUUGCAUGUGAUUUAGAUAUGAUAAUAAAACCAUAUCUACAAUGAGUUAUCUCUUAGUCUUAUCUUCAAUGAGUUACCUCUUAGUCUUAUCUUCAAUAACUAAUUAUUCCUAAAAACUGCUAAGAGAUCAUCUCUCGAAUAAGAGAAGACAAACUUCUUCUUAUAAUUUCUCUCUCAUCCACCUUGUUUUUGUCANNNNNNNNNNNNNNNNNNNNNNNNNNNNNNNNNNNNNNNNNNNNNNNNNNNNNNNNNNNNNNNNNNNNNNNNNNNNNNNNNNNNNNNNNNNNNNNNNNNNNNNNNNNNNNNNNNNNNNNNNNNNNNNNNNNNNNNNNNNNNNNNNNNNNNNNNNNNNNNNNNNNNNNNNNNNNNNNNNNNNNNNNNNNNNNNNNNNNNNNNNNNNNNNNNNNNNNNNNNNNNNNNNNNNNNNNNNNNNNNNNNNNNNNNNNNNNNNNNNNNNNNNNNNNNNNNNNNNNNNNNNNNNNNNNNNNNNNNNNNNNNNNNNNNNNNNNNNNNNCAAAUUCCCAUCUUCUGCACAUUGACAAUUUUGUUCUGUCAGGGCAGAACGGCUCAUCAUGGACAAGUUGCCUAACGAACAAUCUUUACCCACAAGUACUAUCAUGUGCUUCUAAACGCUGACGAAACAUACAUCCGACAAUAUUCGCUCAUAGCGAAAGGCUGUCGCACUUGUAUACACAUUAUUGGCUUAGCACAAUUCUGAAGCGUACAAAAUAAGGCCACAGUGCGGCUGCUCCAUGCCGAGUCCAGUUUUGCCACUUCCACAAGUUCAGGGACACCUUCACAGAUUACAUACACAGAGAUGAGAGCUACACAAGACAAAAACUCCACACGACCAGCAACAAUGGAACGAACAACAAAUCCACCAACUAUACAUACGGCGGUUGGUUCACUGCAGAACAUCAUCGGAUGGGCCGUCUCUACUUACUGGCCGUCCGAGCCUGUGUACCUUUGUAGCGACAGUGUCAGAAGAACCGCCUCUUCAGGUUCCUGGACGUUGCUUGGUAGGAGCUCAUGAGGAGCCCAACACCUAUACCAACUCCAACACAGACUCCCAGGCCAAUCCCCACGCCGACUCUAACACCAGCGUUGAACCAUGUGAGUUGCCCGUCGUCGUCGUCAGAGUACCAGCCUUCAGGGUAUGCCCUGGUUCCCAUGUUCAUGUCACUCUCGUCUUCAUC
rnacentral:lncRNA from 1 species